rnacentral:lncRNA from 1 species
AAUUAUUCUUCUCAACCUGCUCAAAGUCAUCAGCCAUCACAAUGCCCGACUUGCCACUCCCAUUCGCUCUAUCCAGAGGGUAUACGACGAAGCAGAAACUCGCCAGUCGCCUUACAGAAACGUGUCCAACGAAGAUGGCAGGCCGUUGCUCCUCGUAGACGCAUCCGCAGUACCAGCCGAGUCUGGGAAGGCGAAGCAUGAGGCGCCAAACACUGUCGCUCCUAUCGAAGUUCCGAAACAGGAUAUGGAAGAAGCACAGCCUUCUCCAAAGACACCUCUCGAAGGUUUGGAUUCCAUGGGACUUAAUGCUAAAGACAUGAGCUUGCUAGGUGCGGCUUUCGAAAAACCUCCAGCAAAGAUCUCGGAAGUCUCGGCUGACAGUGGUGGCGAGCCAGCGACGAUUAAGGCCGAGGACCAGAAAAGCAGCGAGACCGGCGAAAACACAAAGCAGCAUUUAGGAAAGCAAGCGAUCAAAGACAGCAGCAAGCCACCAAAGGCGUCGACAUCGCCCAAGGAACCCCCAGCUUCGCCGAAACGAGAGAUCAAGCUGGAGGCGAGUAACGAGAGCACAGGGAAAGCGAAAGAGUUGCAAGAGACAAAGUCAGGACCAUCCGAGACAGCGAAAGAUUUGAAAGUGAAGCAAAAGGAAGCUAGAGACAGGCAGCAGCAGCAACAGGUGGACGAUCCAUGGAAAGAGACGGGGUCAGCAACAGCAACAGUAACAGGAACAGUUCCUUCUUCUUCUUCGAAUCAAGCGAGCACAAGUAACAGCGAGGAACAACAGGCAAAGAAAUAUCCUCCAACAAAGAGCACAGUCCAGGGAACUAACAACGAGGAACUACUGGCAAAGAAAUCUCCUCCGACAACAAAGAGCACCGAGGAACUACAGGCAAAGAAAUUUCCUCCAACAACAAAGAGCACAGGCCAGGGAAGUAACAACGAGGAACAACAGCUCAAGAAAUCUCCUCCAGCAAACUUUGGAGAAGACAAUCUAGUGCUAGGAGUAGCACUCGCUGGAUCCAAACGCACGCUUUCACUGAGCGGCGAUGGCGAUGAUAAGAUCACGGGGGACUCGGACACGAGGGGCGCUAUUACUGCUGCUGGAUCGCCGAAAGACAAAGAUCUUUAGAGCAGCAGUGAGAUCCAAGGAGGAAGAACUCCCAGGCAUUAAAUGGAGUUCUCCAAAGUUCUGGGAGGAAGAGAUCAAGGAAGAAGAACUUCCAGGCAUUAUAAAUGGAGUUCUUGGAGGAAGAUGGUGGCCACAGUGAGUAAACUACACACACACAAAGAUUUUUAGGAUAAGUAGGUAAAAAAGGAGAAAAAACGAAGCCAGUAAAAUUUUACCUAUCGAGAGGUUGCCCGAAUGCGGCCAUCUUCUUCUUCCUGGGCGGCGAUGGCGGCGGCGAUGGAGAGGCGGCGCGAUAGGCCGUGGGCUAUGGAUUGGGCGAAUUGGGUGUGAGUCCCCGGCACCGCUCGCAAAUGGGUACGCUCCAAAUCCCGCAAUUCAAUCCGCCCGGGGGUGGUAGUGCCGCCCAGGACGUUUUAGGGCGUUGAUGGAAGAGCAAGAGCAAGAGCAAGAGCACGCGACCAAGCAUGGGCGAUCAUCUGAGAUACAAGCUCCUCCAUCGCGCGCAAUCGCCCACUUCCAAUCUGCCCAAGCCGCUCUUCCAGGGGAUGGACGUGGUGGGAUUGAAGAAGCGCGGGCAGGGCAUCCGGUCGUGGAUCCGGAUCGACCGCGCGGGCAAUUCCCAGGUGCUAGAGAUGGACAAGUUCGGCAUCAUGAGGAGGUGUGAGCUCCCGGCUCGCGACUUGCGGCUGCUGGAUCCACUCUUUGUCUAUCCUUCCACGCUGCUGGGACGAGAGAAGGCCAUCGUUGUCAACUUGGAGCAAAUCCGGUGUAUCAUCACCGCGGACGAGGUGCUGCUCCUGAAUUCGCUGGAUCACUACGUGCUCCAGUACGUGAGCGAGCUCCAGCGGCGAUUGAUGCCGAGGAUGACGAGCUCCUCGAGCAGUAGCAACAUCGCUGGGAGAUAUGGUGGUGGUGGUGGGAUUGGAGCGAUUGGAUUUGGAGGUGGUGGAGGUGGUGGUGGAGGGAGCUGGGAGUGUGAGAGUGAGGAUCAUCCGGCCAAGCAGGAGAUGAGGAGGGCGGCGCUGAUGAGAGAGACGGACAUGUUUAGCGGAUCGUCGGCGGCGGACGAUUUGCCGUUCGAGUUUCGAGCGCUCGAGGUGGCGCUGGAGUCGGCGUGCACGUAUCUUGAUACACAGGUAACCAAGUUCUAGUUCCUCGAUUCUUGGAAGAAAACUUUGGAAGAACUUUCAUGCUUUUUUUUUCUUCUCUGAGAUUUUUCAAUAUUUUUUUCUCUUUUGGUGCCUUUUGCUUUUUCUGUGAUACUACUACUGAUUGCUUCGUUUUUUCUCUUUUGUUCUUUCUCCUCUUUCCUGUGGCACGUUUUUGCUACUCACUGGUGGUCUUUUUGCUCUUUUUGACAGGCUACAGAGCUUGAAGAGGAAGCGUAUCCAGUUCUGGACGAUCUAACCUCGAAGAUCAGCACGCUCAACCUGGAGCGAGUUCGUAGGCUUAAGAGCAGGCUCGUGGCACUCACCAGGAGAGUCCAAAAGGUACUGCUUUUACUCCGUUUCCCCUUUGGAAGCUUUCUUUCCAUUGAAACCACUAAGUCACACUCCUUGUUCUUUCAUUUUCGUUCCAACUUCACUGGUGUUUCCUCCAGCUUCCCAAGCUCACAAACCUCAUUGUUGAUCUUUGCUUCUCUCUUCUCAUUCUCUCCUAUAAGUUUGCUGGAGUCACACCUUGUUCUUCGUUCCAACUUUACUCCAUCUUCUUGAGCUUCCCGAGCUCACAAACCUCACUUGUUGAUCUUUGCUUCUCUCUUCUCACAUGAACUUUGGUGCUGUUCACACUCCUUGCUCUUUCAUCUUCGUUCCAACUUCACUGGUGUUUGUUCGAGCCUCCCAAGCUCACAAACCUCAUUGAUACUUCAUCUCACACGAACUUCCAGGUCCGGGACGAGAUCGAGCACCUCAUGGACGACGACGGUGACAUGGCCGAGAUGUAUCUAACCGAGAAGAAGGAGCGAGCCGAGGGCUUCUUGUACUCAAACAACGUCUGUGCGUCGGUGUCGGCCCCUGUGUCUCCGGUUGGCAGCCCGCCGACCGAGAAGAUCAAGAGCCUGGACAAGACGAUGAGCCUGGGAAGAAACCUCUUGGUCCAGCCACCCGGCUCGGACAGUGAAACGGAGCGAGUGGAGGAGCUGGAGAUGCUGCUCGAGGCCUACUUUGUUGUCAUCGAUGGCACGCUCAACAAGCUCACCUCGGUAAGGCGAAGGUUUCGAGAUUUUCGAGUGAAAAAAAGAAAGGCUCGUGGUGUUAUCCGUGUUAAUCUCGCUGGUUAUACACAGCUCAAGGAGUACAUUGACGACACCGAGGAUUUCAUCAACAUCCAACUGGUACUUUUCGAGAAGUUGUCGAUCCAAGGUUUUUCGGUUUUUGAUCGAUGGUCUUUGUCCAGGACAAUGUGAGGAACCAGCUGAUCCAGUUUGAGUUGCUGCUCACGACCGCGACGUUCGUGGUGGCAAUUUUUGGCGUGAUUGCGGGUGUUUUCGGGAUGAACAUCCAGAUUGACCUCUUUGACGAGCCGCGAGCUUUCAAGUGGAUUCUCAUCACGUCUGGCGUUGCUGGCAUCGCGAUCUUUCUCGCAUUCAUAUUAUUCUUUAAGCAGCGGAGGCUGCUGUCACUGUAAAAAAAGUAAAGCCUCCGAUUUGUGCAGCUGAGAGAAAUAAGGAAAAGAAAGACCUUGCAGAUCCAUACCGUAUAUAUACACGAAAGAAAGAAAAACAAAGCCAUCCACUUUGGCUCACUUUCGGACGAUCAAAACCGGGCAUUUCGCGUUGUGAGUACAAUAGUCGCUCACACUGCCAAGAAAAGUCCUGUGUCGGUCGAGAAAGUAAAAGAGCUUUAGUGAUCUUCGAGAAGAAAGUGAGAGCUCACCGUUUGAUGGCUCCGUGACCGCGGCUUCCCAUCACCAGCAAGUCGGCAUGGAUCUUUUCCACGGCGUCGCAGAUACUGUCGCGAGGAUCUCCAGUAGCCAUCAGAAGCUCUGGGUGGUGGACCUGCGAGAAACGUGUAUAAAAGACCAUCUUAAACACAGAAUAGGAGCCCACAUUGGCAUCGCCGCAAAUCCUCUUGGCUUUGUCGAGCAAGACCUUGCUUGAGUUCUCCUGGUGCUUCCUUGUGGCGGCCACCAAGUCGGGAGUGAUGUAGAAGCCUACAGAACCAAUGUCUUUGCGUUUCAAGCUACAAUCCAAGGAAGAAAAGAUCUACCAAAGCCAAAACUCAAGGAAUGAAAGCUAGUAGAAAAGCAUAGACUGAAUCCUAGCAAAAACCAACGAAGCUUUACCUGGUUUUAGAGCUGAUGGAAGCGCAGAUCACAAAAAAAACUCUAUGGACUGAAUCCUCUAGCAACAACCAACGAAGCUUUACCUGGUUUAAGAGCUGAUGGACAUGCGCAGAUCACAAAAACUCUAUAGACUGAAUUCUCUAGCAAAAACCAACGAAGCUUACCUGGUUUUAGAGCUGAUGGAAAUGCGUGUGAAGCGCAGAUCACAAGGAGCAAACUUUGGUGCCAAAGACAAAAGAUCUAACACCCAUAGCUCUAAUCGAGGAAACCAUCACAAAGAACUCAAACCAUAGCUCGAAAGAGAAAAAGAAGAGGAGCAAGCCCCACAUUCUCUAUGGAAAAAGCUAGAACGAGACGAAGAGUAGUACCUGGGCCGCCGGGACCAACGUAGCUAUGGGGCAUGAACUGCGAGUGUAGCAGCACAAGCCCAUCCCCGGGCUGGACGACAGUGUCGAGAGCAUAGCGGAGAGCUCGGAUGCUUUCUUGGCUCUCGUCAAUGGCCACGAUGACCUUCUUGGCCUUGCGAUCGCCGCCCACAUUGACGGCGCCGCUGGGAUCCGCUGCCUCGUCGCUGGCGAUGGCAGCGGCGGCGAUCUUGACGCUCUUCUUCUUGACCGGCGGCGCCUCCGCCAUCACCACCGCCUCGCUCACUUCCUCGUCGCUCAUGUUUUGCCCUAGCCAAACACGUGGACUUCAACGGCUUACAUUUGGCAGCAUGGCAUAGUGCCACGUGUUUUGUGAAUAUUCACUGGUAUUCUUGGGCGUUGACUCUCUCUUUCUCUCUCUCUCUCUCUCUCUCUCUCUCAUAUCACAAUGUUAAUUAACUUCUGGCAUACAAAAAAAAAAUGGACACACACAAUGUCAAUCAACUUUUGGCAUACAAAAAAAAGAUGGUGAAGUAUCAGCUAUCGUUGAGCGAGUUUAUAACUAGUUUUGCAACUGGCAGUAAGACAUGGCUCUUGUUAAGUGGUACACUUCGUCUGCCAUCCCAGGUCCAGUCGCUCUCGCCAUGAUUUUUGAGCUCCAAAAACAGCACCAUUGUACGUGGGUCGCAACCACAGUAACUCCAGCUCACCCGUGGAGUCUUUCCAACCCACAGAAAGGGUCCAAAGCCACUGUCCUUGGCUUUCUUGGGAUCAAGACCCCGUUUAAGGAUGGAGCUUAUGUUUUUCUGCCAGCUUCCAUGAAACACAAACUCCAACGAUUUGAGGCUUGAGAUGUUGCACUUGUUCACCGCUUGCCGCAUCUCAUCUGCAUUACCCACCAAAGAAACUUAGCACAAAGGUUGGCAGGAAGAGCGUGAAAAGCUGGCAGACUUGUAGAGUUUACGUACCCAAGAUGCUCUUGUCGUGGAGGGUGGCGUAGCAUUGGAGAGCUCUCACGAACUUCUUGUAGAUCUUUGUAGCCGGGGAUAAUUUGUUUGGAUGGAUUUGCGAAAAAGUAAUCCCGGAAUGAUAAGGGAGGACAGUCGACUCCAAAAACUUGGCAUCCAUCAGUUUGAUGAGCUCGUCCUCUACGGGCGCGAGGAUUAUCUUGACGCUUCUAUCGUAUCUUCCGAGUCUACUCUUCAGCUUCAUUGUCCCGAAAUUGAUACUGUGCCAACCUCGUUCACCCAAAUCCAAUGGCAUUGUGGAUUGCAGUGCGCUAUUCAACCACUAUAAAAUAUGAAUUGGAAAAAGAAAAGCAAUCUUUGAAGAAGGAACAGUACCUCAAAAUAUUUGACAAGGAUCUUUAGAGCAACGUCUUGCUUGUAUGGCUUCCAGGCCUUGUUUUUGACUCGCCAGUAAACUCCCGGCUCCAUCGGCAUGGCCAUUUUUGGAUAGACAAAACCUAAUUAGUUGUAAUAUUUAAUCUUUAAAAUUUUUAAGCAUCCGAAAAUAUUUUGGCACCUGGAAUGCACAAACUGGCGUCUGUUUCUCUAGACAGAUAAGUUUUUAGCGGCAAACGAGCAAUGGAAGCUUCAGCUGAAUUCACAGUGUAUGGAAGAUCCAAGUUUAAUUUGCUGGAUAUUUUCUUCUUAAGACACUGUUAAGAUCUGCAGGUUCUAUUAGAACUUCUCCACUUGGCUUUGCUGGGAUCAAGGUCUUGUUUAAGAAUCCAGUUCCCGUGAAACACAAACUCAGCGCGCUGAGACUCGAAAUGCUACCCGUUGCUGUCUCUUCUCUUUAAGAAAAUCCAUCACAAAGUUGGCAGAGUUUAAAGUAAACAGCAUAUACCCAAACCUCGCUGAAUGAAUUUUGCAUAGAUUUCAUGAGUCCAAGCUGUUUGGCAGGAUUUUCUUGAUGAUGUGCUUAGAAUAGUUUGCCUUACAGAAACGUGUAAGAUGGCAGAUCGUGGAGGCCUUGGCAGAGGGAAGAGUUAGGCAUGCUCGAGCUUGUGUUUCAAGGGAGCGGGAUUGAGAACAUCUACCUUGAGCCAAGUGGUAAUGGGUGAGCUCUGGAUACAAGUGAAGUUUACAGAGGGUUUGGAAGAACUUAGUAAUUAGUAACUAAAAAUGUUACUAAUGUUUUAUAUGUUAAAAUUAUAUUUUAAUUUUUUCUAAAACCGCUUGGCUUGUUUAAUCUGAUUUAUUAAUCCAAUUAAUCAAAUGGAAGUAUAUAAUUAUAAACAUGUUUAUAAUUUAUAAACAUUUAUUGAAUAUCAACCAUUAGAUAGUAGAAUAACUAGAAUAUACUAGGAAGUGUUUAGGAAAGUUUGUUUAUAAUUUAUAAAUACAAGAUUAAUCUAGAUUAAUAACAACUGUUAGAUGGUAGAAUAUUCUUGAAUAUUCAAGCAUAUUCUAGGUAUAUUCAUUAUCAUCCACAUGUUUAUUUGCUUAAGAAAAUUAAAAACUUACUCUAAACAUUAUUACUAUAAACUUCUCAUAAAUGACUUACUUAUCAAAUGCUUUCCCAGAUAUACCAGAUAUAUAGUAUUUAGAGAAUCAAAAAUUUUGCUAAAGAAAAUUUCCUCUAUUUUAAAAGAAAAAUAUUUUUAAUAUAAUUAUUUUGUAACUAUAAUUUGAUAAUGUUUUCUAAAUUUAAUAUUUUUUUAUUUUAUUUUAUUAACUUUUAUUAUAAUUUUAUUAAUAUAUUAAGUUUUAUAAGUGCAUGGAAUACAGAAAUAUGCAUAUUAAUUAACCUAAAAACUCUAACUUAUAUGCAAGAGCAAUUAGUCCUGAUUAAAACCAAUCUGACAGCUAUCAAAAUCCCACUACACUAAUAUUAAUAUAUAGCAUCAUAGCCAUACACUUGGAUAUCACAUCAUCCCCUCCUUUUAGAAUGAUGGAAAAUAAUUAAGAUUCUUUAGUGGAUGGGCUGAGAUCUAGAGGAACAAGCAUCAAUGGAUCUAUAAGUGAUAUUAAUUUUUCCUGAUCCCUUUAUAUAAAGCAUUUCAACUAUUGCAUAUGUAUAAUUAAUGUAGUGCACUUUAUUUCUUUCCGGGGAGAAAAACCAAUUGAAAAAAGGGCAAUUGCUUAAUGAGAGAGCCCUUAGUGGCUAUUUUAUCCCCAUUUAUCUCCCAAGGUUCUAAAAAUUCACGGUAACAAUAUAUCCAAAUUUCAUCCCAUGAUCACAUGCGCUACAGUUUCUAAAGGAUCAGCCUAUUGGACAUCAUGCCAAACCUCAUAAACUUGUGGUUUAAUUUGCCACAAUACACGAUAUAGUCCUUUAUAAUGAGCAAAGAGCCCUUUAAACAAACCAUGUGCCGUAAGAUUAAGAAAAUAAACUAACACUAAGUCAUCCACUUUGUACUCCAUAGGUGAAUGAUAAUGAGAGUUGUAGCAUCAUUAUUAUCCCACUUGUAAGUGGCCUAAGUGUUCAACAGACUCUACUUGGAUUAGUGGAAUAAUGCUUCACAGAUAUUAAUCCCAAGACUAUUAUUGGUAGCUCGUCCCUUUGAAGGUUCGAAUGAGCCAUUUCACCAAACUAUCUGAUUGUGAAUGAUAAACACUCGUGAAAGUGUGGCAUAUUCCCAAUUGAGAUGUUAAAACAUGAAAUGCCUUAGCCAUAAAUAUAGAACCAUUAUCUGAAAGAGCUCACUUCGGACAUAAAUGCUAAAAUACCACUCGAUUAAGAAGGAAGUAUCUAACAGCAGUUGUAGAUGUACUAGCAAGAGCAUUAACUUCCACUUAGUGAGUUAAGUAACUAGAAGCAAUAAUGACAUACUCGUUACCAAUAGUCAACUUUGAAGAAGGCCCCAUCAGAUUAAACGCCACUAACUCAAACAUAUGGGAAAUUACAAUUGAUUUCAACUAUCCUUCUACAAAAUGAGAGGGAGUUUUACAAGCUUGGAAUUAAAUGCAACUAUGCACAUAUUGGAUAACAUCACAUUGCAUCUUCGGUCAAUAGAGAGCUACAUAACUUCUUAAUCACACAAUGAUGUCCUAUAUGCCCACCUAGAACAGGAGAAUUAUGGUAGGCAUAGAGAAAGCAUGGAAUAAAUAUCAAAAACACUAUCAGCUGUAAAUGAUCAUCAGGAUUCAUCCCCACAAAAUAAAAAAUAUCAUCCUUAAGGUGAUAUUGAGAAUGUAAAUAUUGAAAUGGCAAGUGUCGUGCAUGUGACUUCAGGUAUCGAAAGUUACCUGUCGGCUAGUCCUUACGGACACUCUUACCUUACUGCCACGAUGGCAGGAGGUCGGUAUUGCUGGACCCGUUAUCAGUCUCUGCCUAAGCUAGUUGAGAAACUGGUCAUCACAUGUGCACUUAGACCGGAAGGGCACUAAGGAAGGAAAUCUUAAGUUGUCAUUUAGUCAAGCAGACUUGACACGGUGAUGAGAAACUCAUGAUGUUGGCUUGCACUUGCUAGUGUUGGGAACCCCCACGAUAUUGAGAUUGGUCCCUCAAUAUCACUAGAUGAUAGCUUACCGUGUCUGCCAAACACCCUCGCUAUCAUGCCCUUUGUGUUAGUCUCAUUUCGGUCCCAAAUGGUAUUUAUGGAAAGUGUCCAGAUUUGCUCAUUUGGCAUAUCUACGGAAUGUAGAGAUUGUCCUGAACACAAUGGUGUUCGUCCCGUGUCCAAAUUCACAAUCUAGGGACAUUCCAUAUUUAGUAAGUUUCGAGCUUGUCCCAGAGACUAACUCCUGAUACUAAGGGAGGCUUGGGGUGAAAGCCCAAAGCGUGUGUUCCUCAAGGGGGGNNNNNNNNNNNNNNNNNNNNNNNNNNNNNNNNNNNNNNNNNNNNNNNNNNNNNNNNNNNNNNNNNNNNNNNNNNNNNNNNNNNNNNNNNNNNNNNNNNNNGUAUAGUAGGGAUAGUGGGUAGGUCGGGCAUGGCUGACCAACCUGAGGCAUAGUCUAGCUCUUGCUUGCGUGCCUGUCCUUGUUCUGCGUCCGGCUUGGGUCUAAGCCCAAGUUCCAUUCCAUGCUAGUUGGUGGAGUACCCAUAUCCUCACGUUAGGCCACCGGUAUGCCGAAAUAGCGCCAGACUCCGUUUGGCUCCAUUUUGCGUGCUAGUCCUGGCAUUGGGAUGCUGGUUACUCUAGGACUGUUCCAAGUCGCUCCGGGCUCCUGUCCCUUCGCUCCUUGGGCUUUAUGCUCGGGAGUUGCUCCGUGGUUCGCGUUCCGUCACUCCUUGGCUCCAUGCUUGGGAGUUUGGCACCGUUCUUUCAUUCAGUGGCCCAAGGCUUUGAAAAUCGGGUUUCACACCACUGUCCUUUGGAUAUGUGGUAUGUGACACAUGGCAUCUAUCACAUGGCANNNNNNNNNNNNNNNNNNNNNNNNNNNNNNNNNNNNNNNNNNNNNNNNNNNNNNNNNNNNNNNNNNNNNNNNNNNNNNNNNNNNNNNNNNNNNNNNNNNNNNNNNNNNNNNNNNNNNNNNNNNNNNNNNNNNNNNNNNNNNNNNNNNNNNNNNNNNNNNNNNNNNNNNNNNNNNNNNNNNNNNNNNNNNNNNNNNNNNNNNNNNNNNNNNNNNNNNNNNNNNNNNNNNNNNNNNNNNNNNNNNNNNNUAUAAUGUGAGCUUGCUCUUGGGCUCAUAGGAUGGAUUUGAGAUGUUUUGUUUGCACAAGUUUGAGCUUGGGCUCAUGAGUAAGGCACAUUAGCAACUCAAGGUUGCACUUUGAGGUUGCAGGAUUAAUGUUAGCCUAUUGGUGGUUCCAUGAGUUGUUCCAUGUACUGUGGGUGAAAGCAAAACCUUUCCCUGAGUUUGCUAUGAGUGGCAAAUAGGUUGGUCCGUAGCUGUUUAGCAUGGUACUAGUGGAUCCUUCCUAGGCAUGAUUACAAGUAGAUCAACUAAGACUAUAGGGAUUAGUCUAUUGGUUCAAGUAGUCAUUGCCGUGCUCUCUCAUAAACUUUUCUUGGAUUGAACUGAAGGCAGUGCGAAAGUAAGCUUGAGGUUUAGUCAAAGAUGAGACCGAAAAGAGAGUCAUCGGGGACGAAGGAUCAAACACGUAAAUCAUUUUCUCUUGGAGAGAUGAUUUGCAACGAGGUGUUAACUCAUUGCUUGUGUUCAUAUUAUGCAAUCAAGGGUCCUUACCUUGAUGCAUCUUGGAGAUGAUGGUCUUACAAAUGGUGAGUUAUGGGAUGGAUAGUGGUGAAACACUAUACCAUUUUGUCUAGGCUUGCUAUUGGAAGACUUGGGUUGCAAUGUUCAAUUCUUUUCUGGAGAACCUUGCUAUUGCUCCUUGAGUAGCUUGGUGUUGGAUUAGUGUUGAGUUUGGUCGAAAAGAGAGUGGUAUGAGUUUGUCCAUGUUGUGAACAAAAGUUAGUGGUGCUGAGUGUUGUAAAUCUCUAUCGGUGGAGUGUGGCAUUUAUGUUGCAUUUUGUCGAAUCGAGUUUGCACUUGAUACUCACAUAAACCUUUGAAGUAAUGACAUUGGCAUUGCUCGUGAUGUUGCUUAAUUGAUGAUCAAGUCAUUGUGAUUUCUAUAUCAUAUCCAUGUGAUAAUGAGCAAUGUGUUUACGAAGUUGCUGGUUAAACGAUGAUCAACCUCAAAGUGGUUGAUAGUGAUGCUAGUCUACUUGCACGAAGUAGCAUUGUAGUAGCUUUGACUGAAUUCUCGAUAGUGGUCCAUUAUGCUAAGCUUAAGUUGGUAUGUUGUUCCUUUGAGAGUUGGCCCAUAAGGUGUUGGAAAGGGAUAUAGCAUUCACUUGCUAUAACUUGUUGGUUUAUCCGUUAAUACUUGGAGUAGAUUGUUGGAUAGAGAAGGUGUGAAGUUAAAGCAUUGACAUUGCUAGCACUUGUGUUAGUGGAAGUGGCAUUGUUGUUCGAGUGAUGAGGAAUUUUCCUUAAAGCUUGAUUUUCCAUGUCAUUUUUCUUGUUAGUGUUUUGGCUUCACAUUGGAUCUUGAAGGUGAUUGAAGAAGUGUAGCGCACCUGAAUUUGGAGCCGAACUCCAAGCCUGUUGCGCUACGAAACGAGGGUCCGGUGCAAUCCCACGAGCACCAGCUCCCCGUGGCUGACAAGCAUCUUUCGAUACCCGAAGUCACAUUCGCGACAAGAAGAGUGUUAGUGCAAUGUGGAUAUCCAAAGAUGUGGCCUUCGUGAUCAAGCUUUAAAUGUUCAUUUUGCAUUUUGUAGAUGUCGGUGUUGGAUGUCGAAAGAAUGGGCAAAAAGAUGUUCAAGGCUUAAGCAUACUAUGGGUCAUGAGAAUUGAUGUUGAGGUGAACCUAUGUGAAGUUGUUAGUAGAAAGAAGUUGGUUGAGUCUUGAAAGUUUGUAUUCCUGGACUGAGAGUCAUUCUUUCUCUAGGAUGGAAAAUUUUUCACAAAUUUUCUUAGACUUUUCCAAUGGCUGAUCUGUUAUCACUUUGUCCAAAAACCAUUCCGUUUUCGUAAGCCAGUACAAACUAGUGAAGGGGUUGGAGUUAACUUCGGUUGGCUUACACCUUAGUAGGUAGUUUGUAUGAUGCAACCCGAAAGGGAUGCUGACUUUUGGGGCUAAGGCAAUUGAGUUGGAUAGAGUCUGGAGUUAAUGUAGAAAAGUGGCCAUUGCACUUUUCUAGAAAGGUGACCCUUGUGCCUUUCUUUUGUAGCGUUAUGCUUGGUGGCAGGUUGCACUUUGCAUUUUGUUAAGACUCUAUGAGAGUAGUGAGCUCUCACUGAUCUUGACUUAGUCUUGGUAGCUUUGCACCUUGACUGAGAAUAAUGAUGUCCAACUUAGUUGUUUGAGUUUGAGAUGUUGGUACCCAUACUGUAGCUUUGUCUAUGAGGAGGUUGUGUACCGAUAUGGAUCCAUCUCAUGGUCUUCACUUUAGUUUCAGCUAAGUGUUGAUCAUGCAUAGCUAGCCUCUUCAAGGCAUGCUCAGAGCUAGUGACUAAAUGCAUUGGUGAGCUUGUCGCGGUUGAGUUGGAUUCGAGUGGUCAUUUAGUUCGUGCUUGUCUAUGAAACUUUAUCUCGUACCUGAGGUAUCACGUUCAUGUUGGACAAGUGUAUGACUAAAUGACGUGAGUUUAGUGUUUCGAUCUCGUGAAAGCAAGUUGAAAAAGUGAUGGUUAGUAGAUUUGCGACUAAUGAUUGCUUGUAGACUUCAUCGAGCAUUGUUUAACACUUGCUUCGCUCGAUGAAGAUUUAGCACUGAUAGGUUUACUUUACCGGAUGGUGUUGCGGAGGAUCGUGUUGUUAGACUUACAUGGGUUUUCCAUGUUGGCAUGUCAACUCUACCUCUGUCGAUGUCAUUUGGUUGCAUUUAGCCCAUAGUGUUGGAUUUCAUUGAGUCUUGGAUGUGGUGAUUCACUCCUUGAGGAAGUGUUAUCUGUAUCUGAGUAAUGUUGAAGGGUUGGUCUCGGUUACUAACUAAAGUAUCUUCGACCUUGGUUAGCUUAGUUGCUAGAGAGCUUUGAGUGGUGAUUCAUUCGUGCUUUCUUCUAGCUUUGUUCUAGUGUUGAUGGUAUUGAAGUGAUGCCUUAUCGUUGACAUUGUUGAUGUUGAGAUUUCAGUGAAAUGAGAUGUCUCUCUACAAGAUUGAUGUCGAGUUUCGUUAGUCUUGAUGAAGAUAGUGUUGAUGAUUUGGCUAUAGCUCUGUAUUAUUAGCAUUCGCGCAUUUGCUAGAUAGCAACUGUAUUGACGUUCAAAUGAACUGAGUGGCAAGUUGAGUUAGUUAUGUUCUAGACGAGAUUAGUAGGGGUUGAGCUUUGAGCUUUUCCUUGAAAAGUGAUUUAAUCAUGGACUAUACUAACUCUACAAAUGGGAGAGUUAGUGAUUGAUAUUGGAAUAUUUGAAUCCUUAUGGGAUUUUAGUUGAAAUAUAUUGAUCAUUGAUGAUUCUUCUUGUGCUUGUUAUGAAGUGAGUUACGUCUUGCUAUAGAUGGAUUCAUGGAGGAUUGUUUAGUGAUCACUUGUCGAGCAUAGCUCCGUUAUGCUUAGCUUUUGGAUUGAUGCAGACAUGCUCUUCAUUAGCUUUGCAUUAUGAAGUUUAGCUUAUAGAUGUGUUGAAGAAGAUAUUGUGGGUUGUACCAUUUCUUCUUUAGCAUUGACGUUAGUCCAUGCGAGACUCGUGAUCAUUAUUAGGCAAGACUUGGCUAUAGACUUCUUCAAGUUUUUGGUUCUUUGAGUUUUCAUGCUCAUUGUUCCAUUUGUUAGGAGUUGUUGGGGGAAGGCAUUUUGGCUCAUUAGCUUCGAUGUUGACGUUAGUAUUUGCAUCUAGCAAUCAUUGGUGAUGAUUGACUAUCAUCUAAGAUAGUUGAUUAUCCUUGUCAAGGGUUUUGCUUGAUUAUUGUUGGUAUAGAAUGAUUUGCUGUUCUUCGAGAUGGUAGAUUCUUUCUUCGAUGAUGAUUAUGCAUUUCUUUAUUGAUAGGAUGAUUGAUGAUCUUUCAUGAUGAUUAGUUGUUCUCUUUGAUGGCUUUUGGCUUUUCGCAAUACCACAUGUUCUUUGUGGUUUGCUCUGGAUUGGUCUCUUGGGUUUGAGAUAUCAGUAGGAUGUUGUUGACACUUGCUUAGGCAACUUGAGUUCCUUAGUAUUGUUGGCUAGGAUAUAUUCAGAUUGGCUUUUGUGAUAGUUGGUAGGAAUGAGUGUUUGUUGGUCUUACCACAUUCAUUCUCUUCUGUUGAUUGUUGCUCGAGUUAGUUUUGAUAGAUUUGGAUGUUAUUUCCUUUGGGUAAUAAAUUCGCGAGUAUUUUGCUUGUCAGUCAAUGAUACUUUGUGUUCUUUAAGUUAUCUUUUGUAAGUUGUUUAGCAUACUAUCUGCCAUCUUCAGUAGUUAAGUUUUGUCAUCGAGUUUUCUCAAUGAUGCGCUUGCUAUUGAGUUUUGUUAGAUGGUGAUUCCUAUGUUUCCCAAUUAUGAUGAUCUUGGUGGUUCCUAUACUAUAAUACUAGUUUAUCGGAUGAUAACUUACUUGGAAUACUUUUGUGUUCUAAUAUAAGAUAUACUCACUGAUAAUUAAGACUCUAAGAUAUCAUUGUUUAUGACUUUGAUAUUGUCCAUUUAUUGAUCUUUGAGUUUGGGCCAGUAUAGGCAGACUGGCUUUGGCACUUCGUGUGCAUGUUGAAAUCUCUAGUCAUGGGGUAGCUACUGUCGACUGGUCACAUAACCCGCCUCUCUGUCGAUGUUCUUUAUUCCGUUGAAAGGGCGUGACCGUGUAAACAACUCUAAUUGCCUGUUUACAGUAGUCUAUCUAAACCUUACCGACGGGUUUGGUUUCUUUGCUCAUGAGGGUUGGGGCCUUUGGCUUCUCUCUCUAUGUCCUUGCGGGCAGGGGCGUAUCACACUUUUGUAAGCUGGGUGACUCCCAGAGCAGCAAGGGUGGCUGACUUCAUUGGUCAUUUCCUUGUCGGCGACGGCCGGAAGGUGUCUGAGCUGGUAGCGCAUCCGCGUUAGACAAAGAGGUUGCCCCCUAACUCAUUUAAGUUGGUGCAUUUCUCACAUAGUGUGAGUACCGUGAACUUUUUCUGGAGUUGUUUCCUUGGCGGUAUUCUAGACUCGAGUAUGCAUCGACGAGGACGUCGAUCUUCCCUAGGGGGGGAGAGUGUCGUGCAUGUGACUUCAGGUAUCGAAAGUUACCUGUCGGCUAAUCCUUACGGACACUCUUACCUUACUGCCACGAUGGCAGGAGGUCGGUAUUGCUGGACCCGUUAUCAGUCUCCGCCUAAGCUAGUUGAGAAACUGGUCAUCACAUGUGCACUUAGACCGGAAGGGCACUAAGGAAGGAAAUCCUAAGUUGUCAUUUAGUCAAGCAGACUUGACACGGUGAUGAGAAACUCAUGAUGUUGGCUUGCACUUGCUAGUGUUGGGAACCCCCGCGAUAUUGAGAUUGGUCCCUCAAUAUUGCUAGAUGAUAGCUUACCGUGUCUGCCAAACACCCUCGCUAUCAUGCCCUUUGUGUUAGUCUCGCUUCGGUCCCAAGUGCUAUUUAUGGAAAGUGUCCAGAUUUGCUCAUUUGGCAUAUCUACGGAAUGUAGAGAUCGUCCUGAACAUAAUGGUGUUCGUCCCGUGUCCAAAUUCGCAAUCUAGGGACAUUCCAUAUUUAGNNNNNNNNNNNNNNNNNNNNNNNNNNNNNNNNNNNNNNNNNNNNNNNNNNNNNNNNNNNNNNNNNNNNNNNNNNNNNNNNNNNNNNNNNNNNNNNNNNNNNNNNNNNNNNNNNNNNNNNNNNNNNNNNNNNNNNNNNNNNNNNNNNNNNNNNNNNNNNNNNNNNNNNNNNNNNNNNNNNNNNNNNNNNNNNNNNNNNNNNNNNNNNNNNNNNNNNNNNNNNNNNNNNNNNNNNNNNNNNNNGUUGGUGGAGUACCUAUAUCCUCACGUUAGGCCACCGGUAUGCCGAAAUAGUGCCAGACUCCGUUUGGCUCCAUUUUGCGUGCUAGUCCUGGCAUUGGGACGCUGGUUACUCUAGGACUGUUCCAAGUUGCUCCGGGCUCCUGUCCCUUCGCUCCUUGGGCUUUAUGCUCGGGAGUUGCUCUGUGGUUCGGUUUCGUCACUCCUUGGCUCCAUGCUUGGGAGUUUGGCACCGUUCCUUUGUUCAGUGGCCCAAGGCCCUGAACCUCGGGUUCCUAUGGACACGUGGCAUGGACACGUGGCAUGUGACACGUGGCAUCUGUCACGUGGCAUAAAGAGGGUUUAGGUUCCACUUCGUGGUGUUAUCCUAUGGUGAAACACCAUAGGAUAAAGGGUCAAAACCACAUGUGUUACAGCAAGUCACUAGUAAGUGAUAUAGGAUUCUCAAACCCAACGCAAAGUUUUUAGAUCCACAACUUAACCUUAUGGACAUGGAAUAUCAAAUACAGCAACUACCAAUGGCACAAAAUAUUUGUCCAAAAAAUCCACAGAUGCUAAAACAAGUUUGUUAGAAACAUAAGAAGAGAGCAAAGAAGGAAAAUGAGCUCGAGAAAGGGCAUCAACAUCAACUAUAAAACCCCUUAGGUGAUGAACAACAUCGAAAUCAUAUAUCUGAAGUUUUAAAGCCCACCAAACAGUAUGACUAACUACGUUCUUCCACUUUAAUAACAAAGUAAUUGCAGCAUGAUCAUCUUUUAGUAAUGUUUGAAAACCAUGUAGAUAUACAUAAAAUUUCUCAAAACCCCAACUAAAUACUCAUUCUUUAUCGUGGAGUAGUUCACCUUUGCUGGUUGUAAUAUGCAGUGAUAUAUGCAAUGGGAUGGCAUUGACUAGGCACACUUAAACUCUUUUACAUCAACACAUGUUUAAGACUGAUAUCAAAAGCAUCCACACGCAAAAUGAAACGUUGAAUAUAAUAGGAUAUGCCAAAACUAGAAAAGUCGUCAAUAACUUUUUGAGAUCCAUAAAUACUUGUUCACAGUUCAUAAACUAGAUGAAAAACAUUAUUAACAACUUCAACAAUAUUUGCAAUUGUGUAAUAUGAUCAGAAAGAGCCACAACAUUCCCAACUUAAUUCACUUUACCAUAUUUGGCAAACAAGAGGCUUUGGAAACAAAUGCUAAACUGCAUCACUAACUUAAAUAGCCCUUAAUGAAGAUGAUGCAAUUGCUAGAAAGCAUCAUCACAAUUGUCAACAUAUUUAAAUGUAUAUUUGAAGACUUCCAGGAGAAUACUCUAAUCCGCACAAAUGGCUGCACUUAGACCAUUGUACAACUGCAAUGCCAUCCCUUUGAGACACAUGGGAAACUUAUACAAACACCAUGCAUUAUCCCAGGAAUGAUAUGUGGCAAUCACUGUAAACAAUAGUACACAUCAUCCCUAGGAUUUCUACAGAAGAAUUUUAGCCAAACAUGAAGUUGGUAGCAAGAGCAAGAGGAAUUGUACCACAUGCCAUGAAUGUCACCAUCAAUUGAGUUUGAUUGUUUAAUUGCAACCACAUAGCAUUGAGCAAUUGUCACCAUAGUGGCCACUAUGAGAUGGGUUGCAUAACCACUCUCCUCUGUGCAGGCAUGUAUGGUCUUGCCCUCUUCCAAUGUGGAGCACAAAUCCAACAGAUUCACAAAAGUGGCGCUGUCCGGGGAGAUUCCAUUGAGAUCCAUUAGCCAGAAGCAAUCCAGGGCUUGGCAAUGGAAUCCACUUCACCCAAAUGCGACCAUCAUGAUGUUCCAGGAGAUGUGAUUGCGCGUGGGCAUGGAAAAAAACUAGCGAUUUGGCAUCGCUGAGGUUCUUGCCCACCAGAUACGGGAUUCCAGGCUGUAAUCUCAUCACUCUUAGGGGGUCAAAUAUCCACUUGGCAUUGCCCAGGCUGCCACACCAGCCAUACGCGUUUACAAGUGCCAUACACACCUUGUAGUCGCCCAUACACCCAAGAGUCAGCGCUGCAUCGUACAGUGUGUCUGCCAGCCGCAGCUCCCCGACCAUGCUGCAUGCGUCCAGUGCAGAGAUGAGUGACACGUGGUUGGGUGUGACGCCGUCGAUGUCCAUGGACUCGAAGAGAUCGACGGUCUGGGUGUCGUGCCUGCUCUGGGCAUAUGCUGCUAGCAUGGCGUUCCAUGACACAAUGUCUUGCUGCUCCAUCCCAUCAAACAAGGCCUUGACACACUGGAGAUGCCCGUUCUGGGAAUAUGCCGUGACCAUUGUGUUAUACGUCACCAUGGUCCUUUGUGGCGACUCCUUGGCCUCCUCCAGACGGUUCUGGGCAUAUGCCAUGAUCAUGAUAUUCCAGGAAUAAACGUUCCUCCUCUCACCCAGGGAGUCGAAUAUUCCCCUCGCGGCAUGGAGGUGGCCGCAUUUCCCGUACAGCUGGGUGAGGAGAUUGCAAAGGUAGGAGCUCUGUCCGUCCUCUCCCUUGGAGAUGAGGGUGUGGAGGUCGCGGCCCUCAGUGAGAGCUUUGAAUUCGACGCAUUUCCGGAGGAGAGAAGCGUAAUCGUUGUCAUCUAGAUGCUGGUGAUCGACCUAGAGAUGCUGGAUGACCUCUUUCAAUCGUAAUCGAUUUGGAAUCAGACAAAGGAUUUGCCAGGCUGAGUUGAAGAAUCACAAAAAGAAGAAGAAGACUUCGUAGUUGAGUAGCAAGAACUCGUAGCAUCCCACAUUACAAUAAUUUAGCUUCUCCUUAAAUUUAUAUUCUGAUAAUCCGCUACUCUAAACAUAUACUCAAAUACAAACAGAAAAUAUUAUUCAUUACAAGUUGAUCUCUUCAGUCUUAAGCUCUUCGGAUUUGCGCAAUCUAUGAAAGAUUAGAACGACUGCUGCCACAAAGAUAACAAAUUCCAGUGAGCACACCCAAAAUAAGAUUGACCACUUGGGCAUCACUUCAAUAGUGGAGGUGGUGGUGAUCAAAAAGCUGGUACCGUUCAACUCCUGGAUGAUUGUUCCAGAGGUGGCAAGACAACGCUUUAGUUCCACCUCUUUGAUCAUCUGAAAGAUGCUGAAUGUGUUCCAUAUCAUCACUCCAAUGAGGAUUAAGGCCCGUGCAAAUGUUCUAAGCACUGAAAGUUGAAACUCUGUCCAAACAAAUCUGAUGAGCGACUUCUCAAAGUUCUCCGAUGACUUGGCAAACAUUCCCCAGAUUGUGGCCCCGAUCGUGAAGAUUGCCACCAAGAUCUCAAAGAGAACUCGAGCUCUCUUUGAAGACCCCUUCUCCCAUUCAUUGAGGGCGAACCUCUUUAUGUCCGCAACGUUUGCAAAGACAUCCAGUUGCUGUGCUAGCAUUGACAUUUCUCCCGAGGGCUUGAGCUUCGUCAUGCUUAGCAUGCACAAGGUCUGGGUCAGUGCUACUUGUCCUUGAUCCAUGCCACAGUAAACGUCCUCUUGUGUGUUGCCAAUGGGAACUUUAUAAUCAAACGUCUCUCUCAUCCCCGAUGCAGCAAGUGGGAAUCGCAACAUCAUUUCAUCGCUGUGAUAAUCAAGGUUUGCCAUGCCUUGAAGGGAACAGUCCUGGGAGAUGGUUGUAAGAGGUUUUUCAACCGGCUGUUGCUCCAGCCAUCCCUGAACACACGAGCUUACGUUCUUUAUGAUCCCAUAGUUAACGUCCUUCAUCGCCUCUGAAAAAUUUACAGCUGAACCAGAGCUAAAUGUCACUUCAAAAGUGAAUGAUCCGUUUCGUUUGAGGCUGUAUGUAGAGAACAUUGGAACUAUGCCCUCAAGAUUCCAAAGAGUGGAAGUCCUGCUACUACAGCUCGUAGAAUUCAGCUUCAAAGGAGAUAUGCCUUGGUCCGAAUCUGACAGCUGCGUCAAGUUGCUGUCAAUGAUGCAAACGUUCCCAUCACAGCCACACUGAUGGGUUGGAAAUCCCAAAUACGAUAUUACAUCCGGAAUGACGAAAACGGGCUUGGAUGCUUCACAUACGUUUCCUUGGUACACAUACUUGUUAACGUUGUUUCCCUUGCCUUUGUCAAUCGUGAGCCCAAGUUGAGUUCUAGCGUUACUUGCAAAGUUGGUCAAGUAAUCUCCCCAGGGCAAAUACAGGGAGCUGCUGCUAACCGAAAACAUGUUUGACGAAGCCUUUCUGUACGGAACGCCCACCAUGAGGACCGCAUAAGAGCCCGUACCAUUUGCAUGGAGCUUGUUUGUCCAAACUACAGGAGCAGUGAAGAGACACGGGUCGCCAGUCAUUCUGGGCAAAGUGAUGCAGAGUCGAACACUCAUCCCCCAGUUGAUAGACAUCUCCCAAGCCAAACCUUUACUUACACGGUGAAAGACUCCUCCUAGAACGUGGGGAUCUGGAGAGUUGAACAUGCUUGUACCAUUUGAUCGGGCAUCUUUCAUUCCAGAGAUUCUCCAUACACUUGCCCGCUGGUAGCCAAGAGUGCCUUUCUCGUCGAGCUUAAGUGCCAUUGGAAGUGAGGAGCCAAUUGCCCACUUGUAGAAUGGAUCGUUGUUUAUAGCGUAGUAACUCACCUCCCAGCAGGUAGAACCGUGAUCUUGUGCGAGAUCAGGAAAGUAAUAACCGGGAGAUGACGAUGAUUUUAUCAUUCUUGGAACCCAAACGUUGAUGCAUAUUAAGGAAGCAAGGACAAGUGAGACCAAAACCACAAUACAUUUCAUCUUGAUGUUUUUGAAAUCCUUUGGUCUCAUGCUUCUUUCUUGAGGGCGCUGCCAGACCUUGUAUAUAGCAUGGGCUCAGAUUAUCUAAAUUGAAGAUUCUGACAUAUUCUUGCUCUUGUGCUCCACCAGUAAGUCAACUUACGCUUAUGAUUGAGGUUACAUCCAUUACAUUGGACCCCCCCCCAAAAAAAUAAAAAACAAAUUAAAAAAUAAAAAUAAAAACUGUGAUAACAAAAUAAGUGAUGAUUCAGUUUUGACAUAUUCUUCAGUUUGACAUUUUCUAGCUAAGUGAUUUAAGUGGAUCUGACUUCCUUUUUUUCCUACAUGUAGAAGCAUCAUAUGAUACUUCUUCCUCUAAUAUUGAAUUUAUUAAAGGUUUGUAAAUAUCACAAAAUAAUACUUUAGAUAUUGAUAGGCCUCAUGCAUACACACAUAUAAGUGUGUCAAUAUUUAGAAAAUAUUAUCAUAUCUUGGAAUACGUAUGUCCAGUUAGCAAAUAAAUCCAUAUCCAUGUGAAGUAAUGAUCAAUCACAAUGAGAUAUUUUCGAUCAUUUCACGGGACUUCGAGACUGUUUCAUUUGGAUAUAGUCAGCAUGUACACCAGUCAAUUGACCCCGUCAGUCAAACACAAACACGGCAUGUCGCGCUGGAGAAGCAGUAAACUCCGUGUGCAUAGCAGUCUUCACUUGGACUCAGCUGAUGCUUCUGGCCAUGUUUGUGACAGUCCUCCUGGUUGGAGAGAAUGUCGGUGGCAUCACCAACGCAACAGCCCAGAAGCGAUGCAAAUCUGGAUGGAACUGGGACGGCCAGAAGUGCAUCCAGUGUCCCAAAGGAUGGUACUGGUAUAACAACGAUUGCCACCAAUGCCUCUCCAGAUGGAAGUGGAGUGGAAGCAAAUGCGUGAGUUGCCUGACCAAUUGGUACUGGUACAACAACGAGUGCCACCAAUGCCAGUUUGGCUGGAAAUGGAGCAAGGACCACUGCAUCAAGAACUAAGCAAGUUGGAGUCUAUUAUUUCAUGGUUUCGUUGGAUCACCACAAAAUAAUUCAUUUGAUUUUAUGAAUGAACAAUGUCUUGCUUUGCAAAUUAAGAAGUUUUAAAAGAGAUAACAGCUAAUUAAACUUAUUCUAAGCUAUCAUCCUACAAGCUCCUUUUCGCAGUCCAGAAGUGUGUCAAUUUGCAAGGCGACAAAAGGACGAGAGCUUCAUUCAAUUCCAAUGCGUUCCUGUGCUGCUGCAACUUCGAGGUGUGAAGCUUGUGGCUAUGGAAGUCACUCUAUGUUUCAUCAUCUUCUCAUACUAUUAUAAUUUGAAUCCUCUGAUCACCUCUUUGCCCAUUCCUAAAGAAACAAGAUAAGGAAAAAACAAAGAUAAAUUAUAGAACUUGAUUUACUCCUUAAGCAUCCUUCUAAACAGGUUGAGGUUCUCCUCACAGUUCCAUGGAAGCAGCCUGGUCUCCAAACUCUCGAGAUUUAUCAUCGUAAAGUCCAUGAAAUUCAUGCAGAACUUGGUAUCCUUGGCAUCAUGGUAACUUCCAAGCGGGCAGAAUCCCUAUAGAGAAACUAGAGGAGGUUCACUGAAGUGAAGGACAUUUCCUCUUGCACUGCUUCCUAGAUGACAAAGCUCUCCUGCCAAGAAAGUCUCUGAAGGAGAAGAGCUUAGUGUUGUGUGAGAUGCUUGCGAGGGAAUACUCCCAACCUUUACGUUCCAGCCAGAACCUUCAUUGGUCAGCCCGAAGCUAUGAGUUACCUGUGCGAAUGUGACUAUAUAUCUGGGUCAAUUCAACACUAAAUAUUAAUGACUAACUUACAAAGACCACCAUUAGUACUAAGGUGAGGUUAUCUCCAACAAGUGGUGGUAACAUCUGAGAGUAAAGUAUCCUACAAGCCCAGGUGAAAGCCUCAAGUCUGAUUGAAAACAUAUGCUUGGCUCAAUCACCUCUGUCACCACUUUGUCAUAUUCACACUUCAGGUGUUAGUUGAAACCAUUGAUGGAAUUGGGUACUUACCAAGAAAAAAAGAAUGUUAGUAAUAAGGCUUGACAACAAUUAUACCACACAUUUGAGCUCCCUUCUGACAUGGAAAUGGUGGUUAAGUUUUAUUUAUUUUUUUCCGAAUCAAAAAAAGAAGUUACAUAAGAGUGGAGAAUCUAGAGUGCAGGGAAGAACGCAAAUGUCACUCCAAUAUGGCUGAGGCUUAGCCUUCUUGUGUAGCAAAUAGAAUGCCAUUGAGAUCCAAGGCCUCAAUCUUUCUCUUUUCGCUAGGCAAUCCAUCUCCAAUGAAGUGGCUGUAUUGGGAGCCCCCUAACACCACAUCCAAUGACAUCUGCAUGCUUGGCCCUCACCAUUGCCAAGAUUCUGGGCCUCCAUUAUGACAUUUGUGAUUGAUGCUCAUUCAGUUAGGUGGAAUUGUGUUUAAAUAAAAAAAACUAGCAAAAGAUAAUAAAUUAUAAGGUUUAAGUGUACGGUUACGAUGCUGUAUAUUAAUAUUAGGAUAGUGGAAUUUUGAAAUCCGUUAAAUUGGUUUUAAUCUGGACCACUUGCUUCUAUAUAUAAAUUAGAGUUUUUGGCUAAUUGAUAUGUAUAUUUUUUUAUUUUAUUUUUAUAAUCCAUAUGAUCACAUUGGUGGAGAUGAGGGGUAACUUUAAUUGUUCCUAAGAAGUGCUUGGAUUUGGAAUUUUGGUUUAGAUAUAGUUUUUGUAUUGUCUAGAUUUCCCUUUUUUUAUAGAUUUUUUAAUUCUUUCUCUUUUGUUUUUUCCUUUUUAUAUUAAUCAGUUCAGAUUUAGAAGAACAUCCAAAAAAAAAAUUUUUCUUUAUGAAGAUUGCAUAUGCAUAAUUUUUAGAGGAUUGACUUAUUGAAUGUUAUAAACAUAUAUUUCAACUUGCUAGAACACUUGAUAUAAUCUCUUCCAUUGGACAAGAAACCCUUUAGAAAAAUCAUAUACCAUAAAAUUGGGAAAAUAAAUUAAUGCCAAAAUCUUCCACUUUAGAUGAUAUUGUAUUAAAUUCUACUUGGUUUUACUUAGCUUUAACUACUUGCUAUAUGGGCAAGAGGGUCUUAGCUAUCUUUUCAUAGAUUUCUAAACUUUCUCUUCCAAUCCCUUUUUUUGGAUUAUAUUAGACUUAUGGCUUGGUUACACUUUUUAGAAGCACAAGCAGCCAAGAAUUUCAAACCUCCAAAGUUUUUAAUAUCUCUUAGUAUAAUAAAGCUUGUUCAUGAGAUACUUUAAAUCUUAAACUUUGGGUGCAUUUCUUAAUUUGAAACCUCAAGAGGAAACACUGUGGCAUAAUAAUCUAGUAUAAAUAUCUCAACUCCUAAUUUCCAUUCCAAAGACCUUUUAAGAAGGUAAUUUACUCAAAUGGGGCAUUAAUCCACCUGCAUUGGAAACAUUGCAAUUGGUUUUCCUUUUGGGAUAUUUAAUUAUUUUUGAGCACUUCCUUGAAAAUCCUUUUUAGCACUUAAGGCUAUUAACUCUAAGUCCUAUCCCUAACAUGGUUUGGAAACUCCACUAGAGAGUUCCUUUAAGAUUGAAUCCUUAACUUCAUUUUCCAUAUUAUAAUCUCAAAACCCCUUGUUAGUAUAUAAGCAAGGCAUAUUAGAGCUUUAUGUUAAUAGUGUAUUUCUGAGGCUAAAUAAUGAUGUUAGAUUGAGAACCAACUUUGCAUGAAUUAUAAUAAUGCAAAUCACUUUCAUAAGCUUGCACUCACUCUCAGACUUAUACAAUGGAUGCAAUAUUUGUGGUUUGAGAAAACAAGAACAUUUAGUCUAAUUAGGGGUUGUUUCAUUGAAUAUGUCAACUCUUCUUCCUUAUAUUAGCUCUAUUCCUUUAUCAUAGAUCUCCAAGCCUUUCGAUAUCAUUACUCACUUUCAGCAUAGCAUUCUUCUUUAUCUAGUAUAAUAUUCAAUUUGUGCUAAUAUAAUAUAUUUUUAUCCUAUACCUUAUAGUGCAUUACUAUAUAAAGUGAAAUCCAACCAUUCAACAUAUGUACUAAGAUUAAUAGAGUGGGAUCUAAGUUUCAAAGUCUCAAGCUAAUGAAUGAAGAAAUAGAGUUGAACUCUUGAACAUAUAGCUUAAGAGUGAGGGAAUAAAAGUAUGAAGUAACAUUAGAAUAAUCUUAAAGCUUCCAAAAUCUUAAUGCUAAGACUAAUAUGCAAAAUGAAGCCAAACUAAUGUAAGCCACAAAAUUUUCCUUUCCAAAUUGCUAAUUUACCUCGUUUAUCUGACUAACACUGCCUUAGCCUUAGUUAAGUUCCCUCCCUAAAGUUCCCACCUAUUAUACCAACUCUUACUUAGUUUUACUUGGUUUUAACUACUUAUUGCAUAAGCAACGGAGUGUUAGCCAUCCAUCUAUGGAUUCCUAAAUUUCUCCCAACCCCCCUCCCCAGGUUAGACUGGACUUAAAGUUUGGCUACACUCUCCGCAAGCACAAGCAGCCAAACACACCGAGCCUCCAGAUUCCUAACAUCCCUUGGUACAACAAGACUUGAUCAUAAGACCCUCUAAAUUCUAAACCUUAGAUGCAACACUUGCUUCGGGGCACUAGGGGGAAACACUAUACCCUAACGGCUUGAUAUUGCUACCUCUACUCCCCCACUUCUAUCCCGAAGGGAAGGCCUAACCCCUAAGAAGGAGCACUAUGGUCGAUUUCCCUUUCAGAAGUGGGAGUUGAUCUUGAGCACUUCUUUGGAUGGCCCCUCCAGCACCACCUGAGUCCAUGCUCACUCCCACCCAAGGCUCUUAAACCCCAGUCUCAACCUCAAGUCAAUUUAGAAGAACCACUAGAGAGUUCUUUUAAGAUUGGUUCCUAGACCUCACUAUCUCUACUAUACUUGUGGAACCUCCCCCCCGAGAGACACAUGCUUUUGUAAGUUCUUGAGUUUGGACUUCUUGGGAGGUUGCCUAGUUUAGUACUAUUCAAACUCAAAGACACUUAACCCCAAAUAUCCCAAGACCCUUAACCGAUUGGAAAAAGGGGGUGCACUCUUGUUUAUGGGCUUUUUCCCUUUAUAUUUGAACCCUAUAAAUUAUCUCUCGAGUCGUUCCUUUUGGUUGCUUAUAGAUUUGGGCUUUCACCCCACAACCUGUAUUAGUAUUCGGACUUGGUCUCAAACUCGACCUUGGACUUGACCUCAGACUCGGUCUUGAACUCGAUCUUAGACUUGAUCUCAGACCCGACCUCGAACUUUGUCUUAUAUUUGAUCUCGGACUUGGUCUUGGACCAUCUUAGAUCUCAGACUCAAUCUCGAACUCAGUUUCAGACUUGGUCUCGAACUUGAUCUUGGACUUGGUUUCGAACUUGGUCUCAGAGUUGGUUUCAUCCAAUGAAUUAUUUAUCAUUUUGGUUGUGCUUUUGAGGAUCCUUUAGCCUACGACACCUAGAGGAGUUGGUUCCUUACAACUCCACCACCCAUAGAAGAAGUUCGAUGCCUACAUCAAACAUCUUUUUUUAAUCUUAUGACUUGUUGACCAUGUCUCUAGGGGCAUCCCCCCACUUAGUGGUAUGCCUAAGUUAGCCUCCCUGGCCAAGAGCCUAUAACAAUGGAAUAUAGAUAUCCCUGUACCCCUCACCUCACCACGCUCUAGUAUGGGGUUGGGAUUUGAACCCAGCCUUGCUUUACUAGGGGGUUGGGAUUCAAACCCAACCUCUGUAGAAUACGUUUAUGGAUUUGACAUUCCUGUGGGGAGUCAGGCAUAGUUACCUACGCCUGGUUGACUUAGCUAACCUAUGCUAAUUAGCUUACCUUUGGCAUGCCUUCGGGUUUUAACAUAUGCCAUUGCUAAAUUUCACAAAUUGAUGCUUUAAUUGAACUUUACAUAAGUGUAUAGAGUUAUACGUUGCAAAAAUUCCUCCACUAGAUUUUGCACGUUCGCUAGGUUCUCCUUUGGUUCCCAUGUUGUUUCGUAGUGUAGAAAUCCUUUCCACUUCACAUAGAACUCCCUCACUUCACGUCCUUGUCACUUAUUUUUGCAUGCAUUGAGGAUGGGCUCGAUUUCGUAUUCCUCUUCCUCUUGGAUAACCUCAUGUAAAGGUCUUACUUGGUCUUUGUGAAAUAGAUCCUCAAAGUACAGCUUGAGUAAGUUCACAUGGAACAUAUAGUGCAUAUUCCCCAUCUUUUGAGGAAGUUAGAGGUGGUAAGCCACUUUACCAAUUUGAGCCUCAAUUUCGUAAGGCUUUGUGAACUUGUUUAAGGAACUCAAGGUUAAUUCAUUUUUAGGAAUACAUACAUUUUUACCUUUGGGUCAACUUCUGGCUGAUCCCACUUGGUAACCUUAGGAUCUUGGUACUCAGCCACACCUUCUUCCUAGGUUGAAACUCUAUGUUCCAGCACUUUUGGUUCACAUAUUUAGUUUGCCUUUAUUAGUGAAGAUCUUAUUUCGAUCUAAGAUAAUCUCUUUUGACCUUCCCUACACUCGAACCAUUUGUUCGAAGAAUAGCUUUGCCACACCUUUUGCAUCCACUUUUGUUGUGGUGGGUAUAAAAUGUAUCAUUUUUCAAAAACUAAUCCACCACCACAUAUAUCGCAUCAAACCCCUCUCUUUGAGGGAGUUUCGUGAUGAAGUCCAUUGUAAGAUAUUUUCACGGACAAUCUGGAAUUAAAAUGCUUUGUAACAAGCCCCCACUAGUCUUAGUCAUGGCUUUGACUUGUAAAGAUAUGUUAGACAUAUCUUUACAUAGUCUUGGACAUCUUUAGCCAUGUCUAGCCAGUGAUACUUCCUCUUGAGUAAGCCCAUCGUCUUGGGCACUCCACCAUAUCCCGCAAGAGGUCUAUCAUGACACUCUUCUAAUGCUACCUUCCGUAGUUCCCCUUUUGGAACAUACACCCUCAUUUGUUUAUAAUAGAUGAGUCCAUUGCAUUUUGCAUAACCUAUUUUUUCUUUUGUCCGCAACUCACCUUUUUGGUGAGCAUCCUGUGCCUCUUGGUUCCUUAGCAACACUUCUUGUGCUAGACAAUCAUUCUCAUAUGUUGUCUGCACAUUAUCCCAAAAGGUUGCUAUCAUGCUAGAUAUCGCCAACUUUAAACUUGCUUUUUGACUCUUCCCAAGUUUAUACAGAAUCUCGCAAUUGAACUCAGCCAAAGCAUUGACCCACCGACUUUGUUUUCCUUUUAGGUCGAGCUAUGACAACAAGUGUUUUCUUGCCACAUUAUCUGUGUAAACUUUAAAGUGUCUCCCAAGGUAGUGUCGCCACUCUUUGAGUGCCUUGACCACUGCAAAUAAUUCCUUCUCAUGGGCAGGCCACUUUCACUGAGCUUUGUCUAACUUCUUUGAGAAGAAUGUCACCGGAUAGUUAUCUUGUUUCAAACCUAUGCCUAACGCAAAGUCUAAAGUGUUUGUUUCUACCUCAAAGUCCUUACUAAAGUCUGGUAAUGCCAACAUGGGAGUCUUCUUCAACUUCCCUUUGAGGUGGACAAAUGUGAGACGGCAUUUCACUAUCUAUACCAUCUUCCCUUUUUUUGUUUCGUUCGUUAAAGGUAGGGCUACUCUCGAAUAGUAUUUGAUAAACUUUCAGUAGUAGUUGCAUAGCCCUAAGAAUGCACUUAACUCAUGUAUAUUCAAUAGUCACUCCCAUUUCUGGAUUGCAUGGACCUUUUUAGGGUCCACCUUAAGCCCGUUCUUGCCCACCACAUGCCCGAAAAACUUUACCUCUUGUUGAGCAAAGUCACAUAUGCUCUCUUUAGCAUACAAUUUGUAUUCCCUUAGUUUUUUAAACACCUUUGUCAAAUGUUCAGCAUGCUCCUUUAGCGUUUCGUUAUAAAUUAGGAUGUCAUCAAUAUAAACAACCAUGAAGUGAUCCAGAUAGGGUACAAAAAUAUGGUUCAUCAGCGCUGAAAAUAUUGCUAGCGCAUUGCACAGCCUAAAGGGCAUCACUAGAAACUCAAAACUCCCAUAUUUUGUCUGACAGAUUGUCUUCUCGACAUCUUCCUUUGCUACUUUGAUCUGGUAAUAUCCUGACCUUAGGUCAAUUCUCGAGAAGUAUUUUGCCUUUCCCAACUUAUCAAAUAGGUCCUCAAUCAUUGAUAAAGGGUACUUGUUCUUCUUUGUACACCUAUUGAGCAACCGGUGAUCUAUGCACAUGUGCAUAGAUCCAUCUUUCUUUUUCACAAAUAACAUUAACGCCCUAUACAACAACUUGUUCAACCUAAUAUACCCUUUAUCCACCAACUCUUUUAGUUGGCACUUGAGCUCCUUGAGUUCCUUUUCGUUCAAAUGAUAGGGGGGAUGAACCACCGCCUUAGUACCCUCGACUAACUCGAUUUUAUGUUCUAUCGAUCAUCGGGGGGUAACCCUGCCAGUAAGUCCUCCGACAUGGUAUUUUGAAAUUGGUCCAACACCUACUAAAUCACUAAAGGUACUUUUUAUGUUUCUGUCUUUUUGUCACUCUUCACCGAGAGUAAGCACAAAAAUGCUACUUUGGUUCUUUUAGUGAAUUGUCCUUUCGUGGACACCAGAUUCAAGCAGGAGUCUUUGGCCUUACAUUGCCCUAUCUUUGAUCUUGGGCCUCCCCCUAGAUCGUUCUCCCCAGGCAUUCACUAAUACCACAAGGUUCCUACCUUGUCCAUGCAAGGCUACCACAAACUGAUUAAACUAAUGCAUCCUAAAGAUCAUGUCAAAUCCCCCCAUGUCCAAUACGGUGAAAUCCAUGUUUACUUUCCAUGUCCUUACUUUGACUCUUGUUUGUCGAAGUAUUUCAUCGGUGAUUUGGCUACCUUGAACAAACUUUAUAGUUCUUUCAUACAGCUAUUGCACCAUUAGUCCAGCUUGCUGGGCUAUGUCUGCAGCCACAAAAUUAUCUAAAACACUUAUGUCAAUAAGGAUUUUAACAAAGUUACUUCCAAGCUUCCCUUGAAGGGUUAAUAGAUGUUGUGAAUGACUCUCUACCAAAGUUGCUCAUGUAAUGAGUAACUUUGAGCUAGAGACUGGAUCACGUACCUCAAUUUGGUUUUCACUUGACUUAAUGGCCAUAUUGACUUUGGCCUUCUUCGGGUAAGGACAUUCUCUCAAAAAGUGUCCUGCUUCAUUGUAGUUAAAGUAUAUGUUGUUUCCCAUGCUACUAGCUGAUUUGAUUUUCUUAUCCAUGGGGUUGUCCCUUUUUGUUUGAGUCCUCUAUAUACUUGCUUAAUAGCUACUAAAUAUGCCUUUCCAAAACCUUGAGGACUCAUUCUUAGAGAAACUCUUCUUGAAUUUCCUUUUGCCAUAUGUCCUCUUUAGUUUAGCUCCUUUGCUAAAUGUGGAUCCCAACCCCGUUGUGUUCCCCUUUCGCAGGUUAUUAUUGAAAUGCACCUUAAUAGUUGCAUUCAAUGCUUCCUUGUAGUUAGUCAAGUUCCAACGCAUUGCCUCGUUUCGAGCUUAGGUCUACAAACCUAAUAUGAAGGCAUGGAAUGCAUCCAUAUGACCCAUGUCUGUGACAAGUAUCCUCUUUACCAUAAAUGCAUUCACAUACUCUUGAAUGGUUCUAGUCUGCUUCAACCUACUCUUUUCAUCUUUUAGGUGCAGAGUAGCAUUUGGAGGAACGUAAGUUGCAUAGAUCCUCGCCUUCAUCAUUUCACAAGUGGCCACCGGUCCUUUGUUGGCCUUUGUUAUUCUCCACUAAGACUUAACAUUAUCUACUAUGUAUGGUUUAGCACAUGGGACCUUCUCUGAGCUCGGUAAUUACAACGCUCGGAAGUAAUCUUCCAUAUCAUAAACCAAUCCUCCACCACCUUAUACUCGUUCACUCCCUUGAAGACCGGUGGGGGCUUUAGUUUGUACUUAGGAACUGCUUGAGGAACUAAUUCCACUUUAGUUUGUUUGACCUUGUUCGGUUUUGCCUUAGUCCCCGCCCAAGGGUCCAUGCCUUCUGCAUUGCCAGCAUUUAUAAUAUUUUUCUUUUUAUUUCGCUUCUCGUCAUGCUUUAACUUGCGUACAAGAGUCUCCAACAAGGCAUUUGUCUAUGUGAAUUGUCCUUCUAGAACAUCCAAUUGAGCAUUGAAUGACCGAACCUCACCAUUGGACUCCUGUUUGGAAGCUUUCUCACUAGAGUCCUCUUUAUGCAAAGAUUCUUCAUUCAUAGCUUUUUGUUCAAUCGGAGGUUCCAGCUCUGGAGGAGGUUCCAUCUCUACCUUGGUUCUUUUACACCCUGCCUUUGCCAUUUCCUAGCAAUCUACCUUUAUCCUUCGCUAGAACUAAGGAAAAGGUUCUGAUACAAAAUUGUAAGCCACAAAUUUUUCUUUUUCAAUUUGUUAGCUUACCUUGUCUAUUCGACCGACACUAUCUUGGCCUUAGCUAAGUUCCCUUACUAAGGUUCCUACUUAUUGUACUAGCUCCUACUUGGUCCUUCUUGGUUUUAGCUACUCACUACAUGAGCAAUGGAGCAUUAGCCAUCCAUUCAUGAAUUCCCAAAUCUCUCCCAAUCCCCCUCCCCAGAUUAGAUUGGACUUAAGAUUUAGUUACACUCUCCGUAGGCAUAAGCAACCAAGCACACAAAGCCUCCAGGUUCUUAACAUCCCUUGAUAUAACAAGACUUGAUCAUAGGACCCUCUAAAUCUCAAACUUUGGGUGCAACACUUGCUUUGGGGUAUCGGGGGGAGACAUCGUGGCCUAAUAGCCAGAUAUGGGUACCUCUGCUCCCCCACUUCCAUCUCGAAUAGAAGGCCCAAGCCCCUAGGAAGGGGCGAGGACCAAUGAGUCACAAGGUACUCAAGUGGGGCACCAUUCCACAUGAGCCUAGAGCACCGUAGUCAGUUUCCCUUUUGGGAAUGGGAGCUGUUGUUGAGCAUUUCUUUGGGUGGCCCCUCUGGCACCACCUGAGUCCAUGCUCACUCCCACGUAAGGCCUCUAAGUCCUAGUCUCAACUGUCGCAAAUGUAACUUCAGGUAUUGAAAGAUACUUGUCGGCUAGUCCUUACGGGCACUCUUUCCUUAUUGCCAUGAUGGCAGGAGGUCGGUAUUGCUAGUUUUCUUCAAUAGCCCCUUUUGUCCAAGUGUUAGUUUAUUGGGCUUAGUCAGAUGAACAUAAGGUAGGAACUUCUAUGUGUUUUUAGUUGAACAUUCUCAGCCUUGCUCUUAGUUCUCUUUUGUUCUGUUUUGCACUAGUUUGGCAAGAACUCUCGCGUAUUGAGACUAGUCCCUCAAUAUUGCUAGAUGAUAGCUUAUUGUGUUUGCCAAACACCCUUGCUAUCAUUCCCUUUGUGUUAGUCUCAUUUCAGUCCCAAAUGCUAUUUAUGGAAAGUGUCUAAAUUUGCUCAUUUGGCAUAUCUACGGAAUGUAGAGAUCGGUCUGAAUACAAUAGUGUUCGUCCCAUGUCCAAAUUUGCAAUCUAAGGAUAUUCCAUAUUUAGUAAGUUUCAAGCUUGUCCCAGAGACUAACUCCUAGUACUAAGGGAAGCUUGGGGCAGAUCCGCAGGUCUGUGNNNNNNNNNNNNNNNNNNNNNNNNNNNNNNNNNNNNNNNNNNNNNNNNNNNNNNNNNNNNNNNNNNNNNNNNNNNNNNNNNNNNNNNNNNNNNNNNNNNNUCUGUCCCGAAUACGUUCAGCAUUUUCACCAUCUGAGACAUUAGUUUGGCUUUUGUUGGGUUUUGUCGCUCCUUGUUUUGCGUCUGGCUUGGGUCUGCGCAACAGGCUUGGAGUUUGGCUCCAAAUUCAAGUGCGCUACAUCAACCUGAAGUCAAUUUGGAAGCACUAUUAGAGAGUUCCUUCAAGAUUUCAAGAUUGGUUCCUGGACCUCACUAUCUCUACUAUACUUUUGGAACCUCUUGCAGCCCCCCCCGGGAGACACAUGCUUUGGGCUUUCACCUCACGACUUAUAUUAGUAUUCGGACUCGGUCUCGAACUUAAUCUCGAACUUGACCUCAGAUUGGACCUCAAACUCGGUCUCAAACUCGAUCUUGGACCUGACCUCAAACUUGAUCUCAGACCUAACCUCAAACUCUAUCUCAUACUCGAUCUCAGACUCAGCCUCAGACCAGAUCUCAGAUCUCGGACUUGGUCUCGAACUCGGUUUCAGACUCGGUCUCAAACUCAAACUCAGAAUUGGUCUCAGACUCAAUCUCGAACUUGGUCUUGAACUCGGUCUCAGAGUCGGUCUUGGACUUGAUCUCAGACUCGGUCUCAUUCGAUGAACUUUUUAUCAUUUUAGUUAUGUUUUCAGGGAUCCUUUAGCCUACAAUACUUUGGGGAGUUGGUUCUUUACAACUAAGUUUUAUACUAUUUUGAUAUACCAGUGGCCUAAUACAAAGAUAUAGAUAUGCUAAUUAGUAUAUGGUAUCAUAAAUCUCACAAAGUGUAAAUUAAUAUUUAUCACUAUUUAAUUUUAAAUAUUUAUAUUUUAUUAACUUUAUAGAACUAGUGUAUUAUUUUUGGUAACUUGAUUUGUUGUUUGCAUAAUUUGUGCAUUGGAUCCACAUACACUAGUUUAGCUCUUGUAGAUCAAUGUUGUAUCUUCCAUUGGGAAUAAUAGUCCCAUGUUCAUUUAUAAGUUAAUGUUAAUAUAUAAAUAACGUAUCUCAAAGAAAUAACCAUUUUACCAUUUAAAGAGAAUUAUUUUAACUCCCCUUUUAUCUAAACCAUUAGAUUUGAACGGUUUAGAUUAUCUCUGCGAAUUUAGGGCUUUACAAGUGGCUAUGGAUCCGACACAACGGAUGUUCGUCUUCCUCUUUGCAAUGAUAAGAUGGAUCUGCUCGCCAUCGCCAAUGUUUAGGCAGCUUGGAUCCCGCAGAGCUCUCCCUCCAGCUCUCGCCUUCGUCUCGACGUGAAGAGGUUUUCCAUCCCCUCCCUCUCAACUACAGGACGGCCUGCACUUGGGACGAGCUGAUUGAGGAGCUCGGCUGCAUCCAUUUCGACGCCAUUGCCUUGCUCCCCAAUGCCAAGAUCAUGGUUGGUCCCGACCAUUCUGAACGCAAACCGGCUGAUCGGCUGACCGUGGUUAUCGACCGGCUGUGAAAAUGUCGAACGGCUGAACAGUUCACAAAAAUUUUUUGAUAAAUAAAAACAUUUUUAAUAAAACUAUAUUAAUAAAAGUAGAAAAACCAAAGCAGAUGAUCCCUCAUAGCCUAUAGAAGCACUCAUAGGCUGAGAUUGAUUAACACUUUGUGUACCAGCUCCAGACAUGGUUGGUCCUGACCGUUUCAACCGCUGACUGGCCGACCGGCUGACCGUAGUUAUUGACCGGCUGUGAAAAUGCUGAAUGGCCGAACGGUUCACAAAAAUUUUUUGAUAAAAAAAUACAUUUCUAAUAAAAUUACAUUAAUAAAAGUAGAAAAACCAAAGCAAAUGAUCCCUCAUGGCCUAUAGAAACACUUAUAGGCUGAGAUUGAUUAACACUUUGUGUACCAGUUCCAGAAACAGAUACCCCAUCAAAAUGCCUACUCUAUAGAUUUGCUAUAGAAGGUAAAGACAAAAGGGCAUUUGUGAUUUGCUCCACAAACAUUCGGUAAACUUAGUUCUGAACAUGAAGAGGAACAUUUAAAACAUUACAUGCUUCAAUAUCAUACCUAGAAAUUUUAGUGAAAUGCACCUUGAUUCAUUUCGGCAGACUACCAUACAUUUUUCCACAAUAAUUACAUUUCCAACGCCCAACUCUUUUGCCGGAAGCAUAAGGAGUGAGCUGUGAGACACAAAAUCCCUAGGCCCCAAAGUGGAGCUGGAUGUAAGACACAAAAUCCCUAGGCCCCAAAGUGGAGCUGGAGGGGCGCCACAUGGUAGUGGCCAAAGCGAAAGCCAAACGAGCGUAACACGUUUGGACUAAAAGCUCCGCCUUGAAAGGUCAAGGGCGGGAGUAGAACUCCCAACGAAGUGCUUGAGGAACAAGCACAAAGAGAGCAAUAAGUGAGGCUCCAAAAAGGGACCCAAAAGGACCAACACAUGACACGUGGAAGUGUCCGAAAUGGACCCAAGAUGGAGUCCAAGAUGGACCCGAGAUGGAGUCCGAGAUGGAGUCCGAGAUGGAGUUCGAGAUGGACCCGAGAUGGAGUCUGAGAUGGACCCGAGAUGGACCCGAGAUGGACCCGAGAUGGAGUUCGAGAUGGAGUCCGAGAUGGACCUGAGGUGGAGUCCGAGGUGGAGUCCGAGAUGGAGUCCGAGAUGGACCCGAGAUGGAGUCCGAAGUCGAGACCAGGACCAAGACCGAGACUAGGACCGAGACCGAGACCGAGAUCGGGACCGAGACCGAGACCGAGACCGAGGCCGAGUCCGAGUCCGAGUCCGAGUCCGAGUCCGAGUCCGAGUCCGAGUCCGAGCCCGGAGCCUGAGAGGGUGAAAGCCCAAAGCGUUCGUCUCCCAAACCCUGGGGGGUUUGAUGAGCUCCAAAAGUAUAGUAGGGGGAGGACUGCAGUGGAGCCAGUUUGGCCAGGAAAGGCCAGUUUGGCCCAGGAAGGCCGGACCCAGUGUUGGGUGAUGAGCUGCCCAUUGUGAAGUCCAAGACUAGAGUGAACACGGACCGACAAGCGGGGUAGCUUGGUGAAGUGUUCAAGAGCUGGCUCUAGUUCCCCCGGGAGAUCGACUGGCCGAUGCUCCCAGUCCAAGUGUGGGUGGCACUACCUACUUGGAUACCUGUCGUGGCUCUACAGAACCUCGCUCUAAGCCCAUGGCUAGAGCACCUAAAGGCGAAAGGCGGGGAGAGUACCCAUGAGGCUUGCGUAAGGCCACGGUGUUCCGAAAUGGUGUCCCAAAGUCCCAGACUGUGGAAAGGAAAAGGAGUAGCCUCUGGUGUGGUGACAAAGGACACGGUCACCCAAUGAGGAAGUCCCAAAGGACAGUUGGACUUAGAGGUCAGGCCUGCAGGCCUUGAUCCAGUGGCAGUGUUGGUGAACACGGCCAUCGACAGAGAGGGACUUGGUGGGGACCGGAAAAGAGAUAUUGGGGAAAGUUAUUCCCUAAGUCUGCAAGCAUCCUAAGGAUGCUAAGGAGUGGAUCUGGGAUGAUCACUCAUCGAUGGAUGGCCUAGUCUAUGAGAGACGGGAUUGCAAUGUAGGUGGUGUUGAACCACCGGUGUGACUAAGGUGAAUAGGUAUGGCCUCAGCGUAACGGGCCGAUAUGUCGGUGGUACCUUGGGGUGUCGAUCAUGGGAUCGGACAUGUGAAGCACUUAGACCAAGUGCAAAGGUUGAGUGGCAUGGAUGCCAUUCUCGGGGCUAGCAAGCCCCAAGUCCUAACUGGGACUUGUGGAGGUUGUGAAUGAGACUCCUUCAAGUGGUCGGAGGUGUGGUUAAGUGACUAAAGUAAAAUGGAAAAAUUAAUCACUUACAUGAGCUUGGUAACAUGGGACCAUGCCCAAUUAGGCACCAUUGCUCAAUUGUGCCAGAAUUGCUAGAAUUGCUAGAAUCAAAUCUUUGAAAUCACUGGAAUCGUAAUUUCCAUUUUAUGGCAAAAAUUUCAAGCGUCGCGGACUGGGCGAUUUGUGAGGCCCCAAUGAGCUGCUCCACACUCAAUCGAAAGCAGAGGCCGACCGACUGGAGAGUGUCGCCCUGUAGAGCUCAGUACGCACGCAGCUCCUAUAGGCUAUAGCCCUCUUCGUCGGAUUCUAUGUAGGCUUGCUAGGCUGGGCAUUUGUGGAUGGAUGGAUCGCUCCAUAGUAGCAGGAGAACAGCAAAGCAGUGAAGAUGUAGUGGUGAUGGCAAUAGCUGCAGCAGCAUCAGAAAUCUAGCCCCUGCGAGCGCGAUCACCAUUUUUUUCGCUGAACGGAAUUACCGAAAGGAGCUGUCCGACUGCAUUUGGCGGCGGUCGGGAUUUCGGCCGAACGCGGUCGGGACCAAUCAUGGCCAAGACGCGGCAAAAUGCGGCCAUCAUCCAAGGCAUCAAGCUGCCCAAGGAGCUGGCUUGGAUGGCGAAGCUGUCCAGAGGUAGGAUCGACGCGGACUCGCUGCUGUGCCACAAAUUCAUGCUCACCUUUCGCUACCAUUUGGAUGUGAACGAUCCAAACGUCGUCGCCAUCGACAAGGAGCACGAUCACCAGGGCUUGAUCACGCAAGAAGAAGAAGAGCUCUACAUCAAUCAUCACCUCCCUCGAGCUCAGGCCCACGAGAUCGUGUGCCACAGUCUUCAUACCGGUGGCUGGAUCCGGAGGAGAUCGACAGCAAAGUGGAGGUUCUCCGUGCUAUCAACUUGGACGUCGAGGUGAGGAGCAAGAGCUCGGCCGUUCUUGCGCAUGGAAGCGACACUGUUCUUGGGAUCGAGGUCGUCAGUGAGCUGAGCAGCCGGCAGGGAUUGAACAGAUGCGAGCUGGAAUUCUACCUGCUGGCGAGGUCGUCCAAGCUUCCGUUUUUGCAGCUGGUGACUGAUUUCAAGGGCGCCGUCGUGUUCUACCAUCGAUUUCCACGCACAGGAUCUAUGAGCUGCGACACAAUGUCGUACGCCACCUUGAAGAAGCUCGUGAAGGUGAUCGCGCCGAGCUUACCCCGCAAUAGUUCGGAGUUUGAGAUGGCUUGGUCCAUUCUGGGCUGGAAACGCUUCGAAGACUCAGAGGAUGAGUGGAAACGUUAGAAGAAAGCAUAGAAGCUUUAAAGGUGUCUGAGACUUUCCUGUUCGAAACAAACCUCAGCCGAGAGAGAAAGUAAAUGUGCUAGAAAUGCGACAAUCACACCACUGGAGCUGGAGAAAGAUCUUCAAACGGGAAACAGGGAAGUGAUGAUGCUAUGGAAGGCUGAGAUGGAGAAGAUAAGAUGUGGUGGUCUUUCGAAUUUCACCUCAAUUGUUGAUGGAAUAUAAACUAAAUGAAUGCUCUUGGAUGUAUACAAACAAAGCAACAAAUUCAGAAAAGAAAAACUGCCAGAUCUUUGCUAGAGGUUUUUCCAUAGGAAGCUCAUGUCUUUAACAUCAACUCCCAUGGAAUCGAAACAUUUCCAGACUCCGAGGAGCAACAGCCUGCCGUCUUUGUUGGACAAGUUCGCCUGGCGAGUUUCUGCUUCGUUGUAUACAGAGCGAAUAGGAGUGGCAAGUCGGGCAUUGUGGACUUCGAGCAAGAAGAAUAAUUUCCUCGAUGCAAUCGUCCGUGCUCCACUUAUGGAUGAUAGGCAAGAACUUUUCUCAUGUCUGCGACGAUGAGCUGAAACGACGGCUACGUGUUUAGAGACAGAUAAUCAAUUCACGUUAUCUUACGUUGAUCUUGCUCGCAUCCAAAUAAUUGUGCGAGUUUUCUAAAUUGCGGACAACGCUUGUCUUGAACUUGUGGUUGGGUAUAUGGACAGCUUCCCAGUCUUCGCAUCUAUAACUGUAGGAGACCACGUCGAAAGAAACUAGAUUACGAUUUGCUAUGACACACAAGUUACGCAUAGACAAACCUGGAAAGUUCGCAGGAAUUUCAGGAAAUCGUAGGAAUUGACACAACUUGGCUUGUUUAGGACGCCCUGUGAGAUAUCAAGUGAAGACCAAGAUAUCUACCUGCAUAUUUCGAUGCUAAUCGUUCGACACUAGUCCCAUUCACGUCGCUGAUUGAAACAGUCCAAUGUCAGCUAGAAAGAAAUGAAAUUCACGAACUUUAUACUCUAUAUUCCCACCUGGAAGAAUAUUAGUUGGAUAGACCCCAGCGAGCAAAUGCUAUGACCCCGGACACAUUUUCGUUGAGAAAUUCCAGCGGAAAUCGUUGCUCUUAAGCAGCACCAUUUCGACCAAAGAAUCCUGCCAAGCACCGUGCUCUCGAUGGAAAUCGCCUGGCGCUGUAGCGGCGGCAGUCCCUAGUCCAAUCUGAGAUAAGAGAGGAGUAGAGGAGAUUGCGGCAUACCUUCAGCGAACUGGGCGCCACUGCUCAGCCUCGCCAUGGCCUGGAACCCUAAAUUUCCAUUCCCGCCUAAUGCAAGCAUAUUCUUUGUUCAAGAUUAGAUAAAGCUUAAAAUUGUUACGCUUUAGUACAAAAAGUGGAUGAUGGGGAAUAUUCUUCUUUCUUCUACUCGUAACUCUGCGAGAAAGAGGCAAAAAGAAAAACAGUGAGAGCUAGCCGAUGAAAACGAUCAAACGAAUAAACGAGAGAGUACUUACAUUGCGCUACCUCUUCCCUCUGCCAAAAGAUCGAAGCUUUGAACAUCGCCACUCCAAAAUCCCAGGAGAUCGAAGAGAGCGCAGCUCCCAGCGACUCCAAAUCCCCUCCCUCUGGCUGGGAAUUCGCUCCAAGUCGCUCCCUUUCUAGCCUAGAAUUCCUGUCGCAAUGAGAAGAAACCAGAGGAGGAGCGCGCUGAUGAACAACAAGCACGGGUAGCAAUCCGCAUCGUUCUCGUCCUCCACAACAGCGGAUCGUCGUCGGGAUCGUCGUAAUCGUCGUCGGGUUCGUCGGCGGUCGCGGUCGCGCUUACGCUCGGAUAUUUCCUGCUGGUAGUCGCGUAAUCGCUGCCGGAGCUCCUCGCGAUCGGUGCCAUCGCUCCAUCGCUCGUCGAAAUCGAAUGCCUCGAGCGCGUGGCGGCACAGCGGGCAAGUCCAUUCGGUACUGGCCGUGGAGCAUGACCUGAUCGAUGGCGCGCUCUCCACCCAUUCCACCAAGCACUCGAGACAAAACCAGUGGCCGCAGUCCGUGUGGACGUCCGAGAUGGCGCUGGAACAGAUUGGACAGGCCUCUCCUUCACCUUCGCCGCGAUCGCCAUCGCCAUCGCCAUCCCUAACAUCCAUAGCUGCCCGGCAAAGAAGCACAAAUGCCCCGCUCGCAAGCUUAUAUGUUGGGAUCGGACGGUCACGAUGCGCUUGAUCUGACGGCUGGCGAAACCCCAACGGUAAAGCAGUGGAGGGCGCGGAUGAAAAUGAUCUGACGGCUGUUAAUUUAGGGUUCCAUUCUUCCAUGGCGCGAUGAAGGUAUGGCGCGAGAGUUUUCAAUGCCGCUACUCCUCUCUCAGCUCGAAUUCUCAUGGAUUAGGAGCUGCCGCCGGUGUAAGCGUACAAAUUCCAUCGAGAGCGGGGGCUGGGCUCUUCCUUCUGUCCACGAGUAGGCUGAAGCCUGAAGCUAGGUUUCUCGGGCUUGUUUUGUGGUAAUUGGUGCUUGGCAGGAUUCUUUGUCGCUGCAACCAGCUCGUGAGAUUGUCGAAAUGCCGCGGCCUUCGCAAGGAAUUUCCCAAGGAAAUUUCUGUGUCGCAAUAUCUUCUAGGUGGAGACAUAUAGUUCAUGAAUUUCUUUUCUUUGUAGCUCUGACAGUGGUGUGUUUCAAUCAGCGACGUGAACGGGACAAGAGUCGAACGAAGUACAUUCUUCGGUAGCCUGUGUUGCGAUCAUCGGAAUAUGCCGGUAGAUAUCUUGAUAUUUCUUCUUAUGAUUCCUAGAACUUUAGAUUUUGCAGGGCUCUAGACGAUUGCAUCGGAGACUGUUCUUUGACAACAUUGACCCGUGAAACCAGUCUCUUAUGGUAGAAACCAUCUUCUUGUUCUACUAAUUCUUCUUUUUCUCUUUUAAUGCAGAUCAUGGUUUCAUGCUUCGUGAACACCUCCCACUACGAAGAAUAUCUCUGUGUGAAGGUUAGUGUUUACUCUGCCACUGCUUACUUUUUUAUGAUUAUGAUUCUUCAUGGCAGGAGUCUGCACCUGCGCAGCAUGUAUUUGCAGGUCCCGGCUGGUAAGCCAUCUUUCAAGUCAGUCCUGCUCUCAAGUCAAGUGUUUUAAACUGAAUCACAAAAGGAAAGUCUGCCUUAACCAGCUUCGAUUUACCUCCUGCUUGGAUCUCUCGCAGCUCUGAUGAGGCAACUCCUUUUCAACCUUGAUCCAGCUAAGUUCCUCGUACAGCUGUUGAUACAUAUUUCUGACAGUUUGCAACAUGAAAAAGAAGAAAAUCUAGGUGAGAAGAAUUAAGUACCUUGAAGAAAGCUUCCUUCUGGGGCACGAUUUCAGGACCAGUGGAAAAUUCUUGUUGUGAAUCAAUUUAAUACUAUUAAUAAAUUUUAUACCAAACAUGGAAGUUUUUUUCUCUCUCUAUAGAUUGUGUUGAUUUGAUUGUUGAUUCAAUUAACAAAGAAUACUACCUUGUUAAUUUGUUUUGAAAUUGAAAAUACCACUCCAUUUAACUUUCUCCAAUUCAAUCUUCCAGAGCAUCAUGGAUUCCUCCUUUCGCUUAUCUUUUUUGGCCUGGAGAUCCUAUUCAAGCUCGAGAGCAAAAUAAAUGUCCCCCUCCAUUGCCUCUACCUGCUCCUCCUGAGAAUCCCCCUCAAGCACAAGAUCCUCAUUGUCCACAUUCUUUUGGAGGAUUUGGCUCGUUUCCCCAUUGCCAAUCUGAAUUUCUGCCAAGCCCUCCUUGUGUUCUGGCUGCUCCAAAACCUCCUCAAGCAUGAGAUCUAGCAUCUCCUCAUCAUCCACAUCCUUGAGCUUUGACAACAGAAUUUCAAUCAUCUCUUUGUCACUCACUACAAUUUUUACCACCUCAGGGAACACAAGAGGGAUGUGCUCCUCCUCAUUUGGGACUUCAUUCUCCUCGGCCAGUGCCAUGAUUCUAGCCACCUCCAGGUCAUCCAUGUCAAAAUCUUCCACGUCCGCCACCCGGAUCACCGCCCCAGCUUUAUUGCCCUAUUGACCACUCUACUUUGCUUGACUUUCGUGGAUCAGCAAACCCUUGCUCGUCUUGUCUUCAACUGGAGCAUGCUUGAGCUUUAUGUUUUCAUGUGCCAUGCCAACUUCCUCAGUGCUGCUUGAUCUUGGCCACUUCAUGUAGGUAGGUAAAUUUUUUCUUGCAUAAACUACAGUGAUACCUUGGUUGGCCGAUGUUGUCAUUGUAAGUAGUCAAAGUUGCCACACUCACCUUGAUUGCACUUCAUACAAGUUGGGUGCUGCUGUUUCAGGUACAUUUUCAACUCAUCCACACUUCCAAACUGAAGGCCACUCUACUGGGAGGAUAAGGACCGAAAGGACAAAUGAAAAUCUAAAAUACUUCCUUUUUUAACAAGCUUAAGGGAUGAAAUGUGUGUUUAAAGUUUUGUUUAAAGGGAGUUUUAUUAAACCUCUUUUAAUUUCCACCCUUAUAUCUAGAUGCCUCCAUUUCUUGUGGACGCUGAGACCUGCAAAAGAAGAGCAUGUAUCAAACAAAGAACUGAUCUAUAAUGUAAAAUCUUGUUGGAAAACUCACUAUCAGGAUUCUUCAAUAACUCGGAGACGUUGCUAACAUUCGCAAAAGCAUCAUUGAUGAGGCUCUUGAGUCUGCUCGUGUCCGAGUAAAAGAUGUAUCUGGGAACUCCUCUGCAGUAGGGAUAUUGAUCUUGCAUAUCCAUGAUGUUCAAGCCAACUGCCUUGGCACAUCCUGCAGCGUCCAGGGCUCCAUAUACACGUAGAUUCCCUGUUUUGCAAACUCAUGGUGAUUGGAUUUCACAUCAGAAACGCACUGGAGAAUUGGUCCCGGACUCUCAAUGUAAAUGGAGGCACCAUCGACGAUAGUCCAGGUAUCCAGCUGCUCCAACUGCAACACCAUAGUUCCUGUGUCAGAAAAUGUUGACCUGAAGGCGGAUGAGCUAUUCAAACUUGACACUGAAGAUGUUCCUGGGGCUGCAAGGCUGCGAGGCUCAAGGUUUGAGAAUCAGAUGAGCUUAAAAUUUUGUAAAAGGUUUUUCAUUUAAGCUUAUUAUAUUUCCGUAUUUCUCUUGAGAUAAUCAAUGAGAACUAGUCUCCAUUUCUUCUUUUCCCGAUGAUUUGUACAAGAAAAUUCGUCUUUCUGGCCAGCUUCUCUUGAAAUAGGCAAAAAAGAAGAAGAACAGUGAGAGCUAGCCGAAUAAAAUGAUCAAAUGAGUACGUAUAUUGCGCUAUCCGUCAAACAUUUUUAGAGCGCACAUGGAUUCAGUGACGUCGUCCAUCUCGCUACAUGCUUUGGUUUGCGGGAUUGGAUUCCUUUGCCGGCUCCAUGUCGCUGGCCAUGACAAUUCGACCGCUCUACAAUCUCGUGAAGGAACAUCCUCACCAAUCAUCCAGCAUUGCAUGCGAGUGAGCAUCAACGUGCCAUGCAGUUCAUGCAACCGUUCCCAUAUUUCUGUGGAUCUGAUAAAGUAUGUGGCAUUGUUCCACGAUGAAGAAUUUUCGCCCGAAGAAAUUUAAGAGCCUUUUUUCAUGGUUGGCUCUGCCACUAAGUCUUCCAUUUUUUCUUUUCCGCAGUUUGCUGCCCAAGAAAAAAUUGGUUCUUGCAAGAGAAAACUUGUAGGAUUCUCAGGUAGCUCGUUUGGAGAUUUUGAGAGAGUGUUGUCUUACUUUUCUUGUUUGAAAGCUUGUCCAUGAACACAGGCGAUGGAGAUCUCAAAAAAAGUCUGGGCCUUCGAAGAACAUAUUGGAGGAUUGUCUCGUGGCUUUGUAUUCAGGUAGUAUAGCUAAUUGUUUCCUGCAGCUUGAUCAAUCUUUUUGCAGCCAUUUUUGCAGUCUUGGGGCAAAUACGAUUGGAUGUAUGGUGUGUAUUUCUUCUUUGGCUUGGUUGAGCUGACGAAUAAUCCGGCUGUAAAAGUGCAAAGGUGAGUAGAUUUUUGGUUGUCAUUCGGAUUGAUUCUCUUGCUGUACCAACGAGAAGUAUAACUUCAACAAAAAGUUACAAAAAUGCACUACUUUUCUGCGAAGUAUUCAAAGGACUCGUCUGCUACGUAUCCAAAUGGGGAAUACAUCCAUGGUCUGUUGUACAUGCCUCGCGAGGAGUUUAUGCUGCCCAACGUGAAAAUGCGUGGCUCCGGUUUAUGCGAUCACUCGAAGCUCUUCGUUCAGAGCUUGAUCUGAAUCAUUGUUGGAGACAGUGCUCUAGCUUGGACCGAGAAGAAGUUUGCAACAUUAUCAAUGCCAGGAAAAGAUUCAAAGAUGAUCUCAAAGCUGCAUUUUUUGGCAAGUAUCCAGCUUCGUCUUUGAAUGCUACUGAUGAGGUCGAUCUUGUAGUAUCUUGUUGCGAUCUAAGAAGUAAGCAGCGGAAGAUUGAUGUCCUUCCCAGCAAAUACCACAGUUGUUUUAUUGCAAACAAUCCAUUCGUUCGACUGCUUGAGGAACUGGCGAAUCCUAUUGCUGGUGACAAGAUUGAUUCAGAUGCUUUGCGUGCUGCCAUGGAAGAGAUUAUUGACGUAUCACUGGACGCUGCAGUGUGAGACUCGACAAUUCUAUUGAAUUCAUGCGUUUCCUUUUGUAUCCCAAAAUUUCUUGUGCAGUUCUGGAAUCAUGGUUCAUGGAGCAUUAACUCCGGACCUUUACAAAAUCACAAAACCCAAUACUACAACGGCACCUCAUUAUUAACCAAAGUGGAACACCAAGGUUAGCUGGAGGCGAUGAUGAUCAUCUUGACUUACUAAUUGACGCUGAAGUAAGUCUUAUUCUUUCCACAUUUUCCUUCGUCUUUUCUGUCUUGUCUUAAAUGUUUUUGCAGGACGCAGAUGACUCUGAUGAAACUCAAACCGAGCAUGGCUUCUGGGUCUUGGUUCGUGACAGAAGAGUUCAAGGAUUAAGCAAUCUUGUUACAGUUUUGAGAGUGGAGCGUACAUUGAAGUUUGGAACGUUUAGCAUGAUAACUCUUUAACCAGAAUACUGCUACAUCAAGCUGGAGCUUGUGUUUCCAAGAAGGAUGGCAGUGCAAAUAUGAGAAGUGGUCGUUUUGCUCCAAUCUUUCUGCAAGCUUGGGGCAACAACUGGAUAUAUGUAUUUUCUUUUCGGCAUUGUCGAAGUGGGGAACAAUCGAGUUGUGAAAGUGUGGAGGUGAGUAUAACGUUUCUUUUCGCUGAUCAAAGUUGCGAUUUUUGCAAUGAAACGAUGGAACGAGUGCCAUCCUUGAGCAUUUUGUCGAAGUUCUCAUCGCCCCUGCUAGGACUCAUUGUAAGGACUCGAGUGCUACGUAUCCAGACGGGGAGCACGUCCAUGGGAUGCUUUACGUGCCUUGAAAGGAGUUUACGCUGAGUUCCUGGAUCUGGUUCUAGCGAUCAUACCAAGCUCUUCUUCCAGAGUUUGAUCCAAAUCGUUGCUGGAGAUGGUCCUCUUGAUUGGACUGAGAAGGAUGUUCGCAAGAUUAUUGAUAGCACGAAAGAUGAUCUCAAAGCUGGAUUUUUUUCCGAAAAUAAUUGGUAGAACUUGAUGGAUCUGUUUAUAUUACAAUGUGAAUAGAAAAUGAUCGCUCGAUAUAAAUUCCAGAAUCAUGGAAUUCAAAGCAUUCGAUUUUUCAAAUAAUAAACGUGGAAAGACAGAAAGGACAGUGGCAUAUUCUAUAGAAUAUUUUGGAAAUUAAAUUUAAGUUUAGCGAUUAGGAUAAGGCCAAAGCAUUUCGCGAGGAAUCCCAGCCGUCCGUUGUCGACGAGCGCGCUUCUUUUGUAUAAAUAGCUAGCUAGGAGCGGUUUGUUCUUGCGAUGGUCGCAGCUCAUCUGGAUGCCGAUCUCUAUCAACCUGCUCAAAGUCAUCAGCCGACUUGCCACUCCUAUUCGUUCUACCCAGAGAGUAUUCGACGAAGCAUAAACUCGCCAGACGCCUUACAGAAACGUGUCCAACGAAGAUCGCAGGCCGUUGCUCCUCGUAGAGGCAUCGCCAGUGGCAGCCGAGUCGGGGAAUAUGAAGCAGGAGGCGACAAAUCACUGUCGCUCUUAUCGAAGCAGCGAAACAAAGCAUCUCCAAAGACAGCUCUAAAAGGUUUGGCUAAAGACAUGAGCUUGAUAGGUGCGGCAUUCGACAAACCUCCAACAGUGAGCCAGCGACGAACAGAAAAGCAGGGAGACUGUAGAAAACACAAAGAAGCAUUCAGGGAAGCAGGCAAUCAUGCUGGCAUCCUGGCGGAGCUGUUA